rnacentral:lncRNA from 1 species
UUUUUUUGGUCUAGAUGUUGAAGAUGUUUUUCUCUAUUAUCUUGUUGAAUAAGGAGGCACGUGAGCUGAUUAAUAACAGUUGUUUAGCCAAAACAAGGGGCUAAGAAGCCUAAAACCUUUACUUAAUCUUUUAUUUGGUGCUCAUUCUUGAAAUUUGUUGAUACAAUACGACAGGAUUACGACAGUUCACAUAGUGUUUGUGCGAAAACUCAUUUAGAGAUUGUUAAAGCAAAUAGAAACUAACACAGAAAGAAAUAAAAGAUCAAGAAGAGAAUUAUUGUUUUUCAUUGCUUUCAAAAUUGAUACGUGCAUGCAUUUAUACAAGUGAAGUCUAACUGACGUAAGCAAAGUAACUGCUAUUUAACUAACACCAGCUUUUAACAAACUAGCUACUUUUUGCAUGCAGUUACAACUGCAUUACUCUUAACAUUCCCCUAGUCAGUCGAUUUCUGAUUUUUAAGUUCAUCAGGCGACAAGACCCUAAGAGCAUAUCGAAACGUAGAAAACAUCUUAGGAGUAAUUGGUUUAGUUAGAACAUCUGCAAUUUGUUGAUCAGAUGGCACAAAAUUGACUUGUAAGUGACCUGCAAGGAUUUUUUCCCUGACAAAAUGGUGAUCGAUUUCAACAUGCUUCAUUCUAGCAUGAUGCGUGGGAUUCUCAGCCACAGAGACUGCAGAGGAAUUGUCGCACCACACAACUGGCACUUUGGAUGGAAAAAUGCCUAUUUCAGCCAACAAUUGUUGAAGCCAUAAGAGCUCAGAAACGCAAUUUGCGAGACUACGAUAUUCUGCUUCAGCAGAAGAUCUUGACACAACUGGCUGCUUCUUUGAACACCAAGCAACAGGAUUUGAGCCUAAGAACACAACAUACCCGGAGGUUGACCGUCGAUCCUCAAUGGAUGAUGCCCAGUCUGCAUCAGAGUAGCAUACUAGUUUGAGUUGACUGGGUGUUAGAAACAAACCAUGAUCUAUGGUACCAGCUAGGUAUCUCAGAACCCGUUUUAGUGCUCUCCAAUGAGCUUCUCUUGGAGCAUUCAUGAACUGGCUGAGUUUAUUGACACUAAACGACAGAUCCGGCCGUGUUAUACACACAUAUUGUAGCAUCCCUACAACACUUCUGUACAAGUGAACAUCUACCAAUGGAGGACUAUCAACUGAAGCGGCUAACUUUGGAUUGCUUACCAUAGGUGUUGGUGUGGGGGUGGCCUCGACUAGCCCAGUUUUUUUAAGUAAGUCAACAAUAUACUUCUUCUGACUGAGUAGAAUUCCCUGUUUAGUGUGCUGAACAUCAAUUCCCAGAAAGAAAUUGAGCUCUCCCAUAUCCUUGAGAGCAAAUUUGCUAUGAAGGUGAAGUAUGACAUCUGCCAUUUCUUGAUCAGAACUACCUGUGAGAACAAUGUCAUCAACAUAGACCAUGAGCAGAAGUUUCUUUCCAUCAGAUUCACGAAUAAACAAGGAGGAGUCAGCCUUGGAUGCUUGAAAACCAAGCUGAUCAACAAGGUACUGUUUAAGAGUUUGGAACCAUGCACGGGGUGCUUGUCGCAGACCAUAGAGAGCUUUGUGCAACUUACAAACGAGCUUCUGACCCGAGGAAUCACAUACUUCAAAACCAGAGGGUUGCUCCAUGUACAACUCUUCAGUCAGUUCUCCAUUGAGAAAGGCAUUAUUAAUGUCAACUUGCCUUAACGACCACCCAUUUAUAACAGCAAGAGCAAGAACCGUGCGAAUAGUGGAGGCUCGAACCACCGGACUAAACGUGUCACGGAAAUCAAAUCCUGCAUGUUGAGAGAAGCCUUUUGCUACCAGCCGAGCUUUGUAUCUGUCCACUGAUCCAUCAGCCUUUUUCUUUAUCUUAAACAGCCACUUGCAUCCGACUGCCUUCCGAUUACUUGGUAGUGAGCAGAGUGUCCAAGUGUUAUUACGAGUCAAUGCCUGUAAUUCAUCACGAACAGCUGUUUGCCAGUCUGGAGAUGUCAUUGCAGUGUGAAUAUCAGAAGGAACCUCUGCUGAAGAGCAUUGGACUGUACUCAUAAAAACCUUUGGUUUGAAAGUUCCAACUUUGCUUCUGGUAACCAUGGGAUGUAUGUUGAGGGAAUUUGAAUGAGAAGCUUGUAAUGUUUGAGGUGUAGGUGACAUUGAUGAGGUGGCUGACGUAGGGGUGAUAGGUGUUAACGUAUGAGGUGAAAGUGAAUUCGGUGAAAUAGUGGGGUUAGGUUGUUGUUGUACAGCUUGAUGGUCAGACAAGGAAAGAGGUGAUGUAGGUGAGGGACUAGGUGGUGUAGGUUGAUUAUGAAAAGAAGUGGUGGUAGGUGGGGUAGCAUGAGAUAUUUGUUUGAGAGGUAGGACCAGAAGUUUUGCACUAGACUGAGACACUGGGUUAGACGAGACAAGUGAUGGCGAAAAAACUUUAUAUGGGAAAAUGUGCUCAUAAAAUGUGACAUGACGUGUUACAUAGAUUUUUCCAGUUGUGUCCUGGCAUUUGUAGCCUUUAUGCAAUGAUGAGUAACCUAGGAACACACAGGGUGAAGACCGAAACUGGAGUUUGACUUUGUUAAAUGGUCUAAGAUUUGGGAAGCACAGGCAACCAAAAAUUCGAAGGAAUGCAUAGUCUGGCUUUGUUUUAAAUAGCUUCUCAUAAGGUGAUAUAUUUCCCAAAGGCUGAGAGGGUAACCUGUUGAUCAGGAAGACUGCGCUGCAAAAAGCUUCAUUCCAAAAUUUUAAAGGCAUGGUAGCAUGAGCAAGCAUGGACAGACCUGUUUCAACCACCUGUCUGUGUUUGCGCUCAACAAGGCCAUUCUGUGCAGAAGUGUAUGGACAAGAGAGACGCUGGACAAUCCCUUGCUGAGCUAGAUAGGGCUUUAAUGCCUGAAACUCUCCACCCCCAUCCGUUUGUAAAACAUGUAGCUUUGCUCCAAGAACUCGUUCAGCUUGACGAUGGAACUGAGGAAAAACAGUAGCAACCUCUGACUUGCUCUUCAAGAAGUAAAGCCAUGUAUAACGAGAAUAGGCAUCAGUGAAGGCAACGUAGUAACGAAAACCAUUAGAGACAAUUGGAGCUGGCCCCCAAACAUCAGCAACGAUCAACUGUAAAGGAGAGCUGUAUGUUGUAGUUGACUUGGAAAAAGGGAGUUUAUGCUCUUUACCCAUAUGACAAGCAACACACUCAACAAGCUUUUUAUUAUCAGUAAACUGAAUAUUACAAUGUGAAAGAGCUUUUGUAAGAAUAGCACGACAGGGGUGCCCUAGCCGAGAGUGCCAAACAUUUAAAGGGAGCAUUUUGCUAACUGUAAGACAUUGAGCAUGUUUUGAAGACAGUCCACUUUGAGGAAGUUUGUUGAGAUGAAGUCUGUACAAGCCAUGAUGCACAGAACCCUUCAGGAGAACCUCUCUAGUCUGCAAAUCACGGACCUGACACUGAGUGGGAAAAAACUCAAACAUCACCCUGUUAUCUUUAGCAAACUUUGACACAGAUAAAAGAUUUUUAGUAAUACUAGGCACAAGCAACAAGGAUCUCAUAUACAAUGGUCGAGAUCGAGUAAUUAGUGAUGACUGCCCUGUAGACAGAACAGGAAGAGCAGAACCAUUGCCAACAAACACUUUACCUGGUCCUUUGUGUGAGUCACUGUCACUAAGAGAAGUAAUUGAAUUUGUAAGAUGAUGUGUGGCACCUGAGUCUGGGUACCAGGAGUUAUCAGCCACUGUUUCAGGAGUAGCCACAUAAGCCUGAGAUUGUGCUACGCCAGAGGAAGGCAUGCUGACCUGUUGAGAUGGGCUACCAACACACGGGUUAGGCCAGGUAGAUGGAGAGGGAAUUGGAAAACACCAACCUGGUGGAAACCACUGCAUAUUUUGUUGAGGAGGUGAUGACCACGGUAUUGUAGUGGGACUGGAGUUGACCAUACAAACGUUUGCUUGAGGAGGAGGCCGAUAGUUACUACUUUUGUAAGUGGAGUCAAACCGAUGGUAGCAGCGAUCGACUAGAUGCCCAGGCUUUCCACAUAGCUGACAUUGAAUCUUUGUAGAAAAUAACCUAUUGUCGACUACACCAUCAGCCGCAGCACAAUCCAUGACAACAAAAACAAAAGAGUAGCACAGCGGAUAGAUGAGAAAGCUGACCCAGGAGAAGCCUUAAUCUGAUACCAUGUUAAAGCAAAUAGAAACUAACACAGAAAGAAAUAAAAGAUCAAGAAGAGAAUUAUUGUUUUUCAUUGCUUUCAAAAUUGAUACGUGCAUGCAUUUAUACAAGUGAAGUCUAACUGACGUAAGCAAAGUAACUGCUAUUUAACUAACACCAGCUUUUAACAAACUAGCUACUUUUUGCAUGCAGUUACAACUGCAUUACUCUUAACAGAGAUUACAAGAAAUCUUGGGUUCUUUGGGGAAUGUUCUCCUAGUACUCUUUACAUAUACUCAAUGUCAAGUGUUUGUGUGUGGAAGUUUAGAAGUUUAAGUCAUUGUGGGCUUUUGUGUUUGUAUUUGGACAUCAUCAACGAGUUACAUGUUGUCUUCUCAGGGCCUUCUAGUCUGCAUGACAAUUGACUUAUGUGGUGUAUAGAUGGAGGCCAAUAUUUGUUCUCUUGUUGGGGUUUGCUUGCUUGAUGAGGUUCUUUGGCUAGGUAAACAUCUUGGCAGGGUUUUGCUGAGCAACGUUACGAGUGUACAAUUAAAAAAAUUUCCUUUGGCUAUAUCUAUAGUUAGGAUUAUUUUGAUAUAUAUCUAAUGUGUUUAUAACUAUAGAGUUCCCGGCUAGCAGACUUGUACUUAUUCAGUCCACAGCUGCUACCAUCCCUAAUUACUUUAUGUAAUGUCGCAUGCUUCGCAGAGGCAUACUCAGCAAACUGGAUCUUAUUAAUAGAAAUUUUUUAUGAGGUGGCAGUGAGCAUUCAAAGAAAAUGCAUCUGGUUAGGUGGGAAACUGUUACACUUCCCAAGGCUGAACGGGGAAUUGACACUCCUGCUAAACCAAAAAACCAAGCCCUUCUUGUUAAGUUGGGGUGGCAAUUCAUCCACGAGAAGGAUAAUCUCUGGGCGAAAACGCUUGUCGCCAAGUACCCCUCGUAACCCCCUUCGCUUGACUAAUACGUCCUUUAUCUGGAGCUCGCUUAGAAAGGUUAGUCUUCUGCUGGAAGCUGGUAUGAGAUGGGUGGUACGGGAUGGCACGAUUGUUAACUUCUGGAAUGAUAACUGGUCUGGGCUUGGACCUUGAGAAGUUUUGUCCAAGGGCCCUUGAGAUCUUUGGAAAGCACUUGAACCUUUGAGCAGGUGAGAGAGGGUCGGGUUGCAUAAGGCCCCUCUUGCGUCUCUAUGCAACCCCCCGGGAAUUUUUGGACUCCUUUUUGAGUACCCCUAUAUCUCGACCCGAUUCUUGUUAAGAUUCUUUUUGUUGGAGUCCCUUUAAAUUGGGCGUUUUCUCUUUAUCCACUGCUAAGUCUCUUGCCCUCGACUCUCCCCCUAUAAAUUCCAACAACGAUAAGGAGCUCUGGACGACUGUAUGGAAAGCCAAACUUCCUUCUAAAUUGAAAGUCUUUCUGUGGAAAUGUGGGUUGAAAUCUCUCCCAUGAAUCAGGUUCUGAGCCGAAGAGGCUUAGCUGUACUUGAUCAGUGCCCAUUAUGCUCUAAUCUAGAGGAGAGUAUUCAGCAUUUGUUCUGGGAUUUCCAUGUCACUAUCACAGAUUUGGAGUCAUAUCCUUGUUACGUUUCAUUGUCUAUCAAUUCCCAUGAUUGAACCGGUUCAGUGGCUAGAUGCCAACCUAUCUUCCUCGAUGUGGUUGCACAACCCAUGCCUAAUGGUGUAUUAUAUGCAUAACCAAUCUUGUACAAUUCUAGCCACACAUUUAAACUAUAUAUCCUGAAAUUAAGCUCUAGCAACUUUACCAACUUAUUACAUGACAUACUAAUGGUGUUUUUGGUCGAUAUAUUUCACAGGUUAAUGCAAUGAAUUUCACUUUUCACAAAUAUUUAUAAACAUUUCGAACUCAUCAACCACUCCAAUUAACGCAUAUAAAUUUGAAACAUAAUUAACAUGUGUUUUAUUAAAAAACUUAUAACAAUUUUUAAACCCAACCAUGUAUUUACAUGCAAUGUAGUACUUUUUUUUGCUGUCAUGAGAUCAAAUUUCAGACAUUUGGGGGGUAAGGAAUAAAGUUGGUGGAAAACAUUGAAAUGAGUUUGUGCCUAGGAUAUUCGUACGUGAAGCACUACAAAUACAUGAAUAUGAAUAUCAGAAUAUAUAUGGAUAUGGAAAGGGUAUAAAUAAGGAGCCUGAUGGGAUUCAUCUAUAUCUGCAAAUUUCAGCUGCAGUUGAGAUAUUACAGGGCAAAAUCUUCAGUGGCAGGCAGCCAUUGUAUAUGGCUCCGUUCAUCAGGCAUCAGCUGUAUGGAAAAUUGCAGUGUGUUCUCCGCCAAUGGAGAUUUGUCCGGUAAUUCCGGUUCUGCAGCAUUAUUGCUGUUCAGUGUCUACCAACCGGGAAAAGGAGCACUACAUGGAUGUAUGUAUAUGUAUAAUGAGGGGUGAGCCGGAUGACACCCUGUCGCUAGCCUAAAUAGUAGCAUUCACAAAUUUAAGGUGUCAAAUUAUGAUUUUAAUUAUUGUAAUAUCAUCAAAUUUGAUAUUUAAUCUCUUUACUUAUUUAUUUUCGAUCCCUUGUUAUUAUUGGCGUAAGGAAUUAGUUGGAACUAUUAACAAUUUUAACAUUUUCAUUAUUCAUCUUAUGUGGAUUUAUUUAUAUUUGACUUUUUGAUUUGAUUUUUUUUUCAUAUUCAUAUUCGCAAUCAUAUACGGUAAGAAAUUUAUAUAAUUUAUAUCACGCUUACUCUUUUAGAAAUGACGCCAUUUAAAGAUUUAUAUUUUUGACUUUUUGAAGGAGAGAUUGCAAGAGCACUUUAUUUGUUCUUAAAGGAAAUGUUAUUUGAGUGUAAAAUUUGUAAGUAAAUUAUUAUUGUUGAUUACUUUACAACUAGACAUUUAAAGGAGAAAGUCUUAGUGAAAAGCUGAUCUAAGCUAUAUAUAGGAAUGAGAUUACAAUUUGAUGAAUGACUUAAACUCAUUGGAUUUAUAAAUUCUCAUUAAAAAGUUGAUUUAUCAAAAUUUUUGAAAAUUUUCAUUAAAUCCUUUAAAUAUUAAAAUUUUUAAAUGAACCCCGAAAAAGUUAAAUAUGAUUGAUUGCAUCCCUCUAUUGAGGAUAAUUCCUCCCCCUUUAAAACUUCAUUGAAGACAAUGUUGAAAACAUACUAGGAAACUGUCUGAGGCAACCCUUGACAGCAAAUAUAGAACACUGUAUUGUUUUCUCUUAACAUUAGAAGUAUAUACAUUUCAGACCCUUACUGUUAUCUUCCUCUGUCUCCUCUGUUCAGAAGGCUAAACAACUGUCUAGCUUCCAAUUUAAAGGAUGACUUUACAUUUUUACCUCUUCUACCACUGAAAUAUAUAUAGACUUAUAAAAGCAAGAGCCACAUAUUGUUGCACCAAAUCUAUGGAAUAUUUUCCAUGAUAUACUCUGCUUGAUCUUACAUGUCUUACAAAGCCAUUACAUAAUUAUACAUUAUCAAUCUUGUUGUGCAUAUUACUGGCUAUGUAACAGUCUCCCAAUGACUACUCACCAGCUGAAAACUUAGUACACUUAUCUCCCACAUUGAUCAGCUGCAGGCAUUUUAACUAAAGGAGUUGAGCAAUGCCUGAAAACAAAGCCUUCCGUGUCAUCCGUUUAGCGGAAGCUAGCUGCUAUAUGAAGGUGAAGUCUGCAUUUACUUCAAAAGAGCUAUUGAUUAGGAGAAUGAGAUGAUUGUGUGAGUGAAUGGCAGGGCAAAUCUCCUUUGGCAAAAUCGAAUUCAUAUGCAAGAGCAUAAACAUUUCUGCUAAAGGAGACAUGCUCUGUAAUUCCUCAACUCCACAUACGGAUAAGUUUUGAUUUCCUUGACCAGGUUACAGAGAUUCAAGAGCAGUUCUAUUUAUAGAGUGCUAAACAUACUAUAUGAUAAGAGUUUCUAAUUUAGUAUAUGCCAAUGAAAAAAUUGGCAUAUGCCAAGUGAUGACAUUGCCCCCUCAUGGAAUCGUGGUCCUAAUUUGCUUAUGUAUCUUUUAUUUUUCUUUUCUUUACGAAAGUGAUGCCAUUUCUCCUUAUUUAUGUUGCAAUACUUACACAAAUGAUCAUAUUACUUAUGGAGAAAAAAUGUUGACAUAUGCAUAACAUGCAUGCACGUAAAAACAUGUAGCUAGCACCAACAGAAAUUGUUCCUUCAUCCCUCCCAUAAAGAACACAAAAUCGUAUCAUAGAUAUAGGUAAUGGAACAUGCCACUGGAUCUUCCUUGUCUAUGCUCUAUGACCAUUAACUUUUCCUUUUCUCCUACUUUUUUCUUCUUUUGAAAGGGUGCCUAAUAAUCAUUAUUGGGACAAAAGGGAAACAAAUAUUCGAUGCUUCUCUUUAUGGUAAAUUGGGUCUCCUGCAAAUUCUUGUGAGCCGUGUGACCCUUAGAGGAGUGAAGGGCGCUUAAAACGGGGGCGAAUCAAGAAAUUUUAUUGGGUGGAAUUAUAUUUUAUAUUUUUACGAUCGUAAAAAUGUAAUUUCAUCAUUUUAAUAGCUUAUAUUUUAUAAUUUAUAAAUAAUUAAAUUAAAUUUUUAUCAUUUUUAGGAAGUUAAAGUGCAAUUUUAUCAUUACUAAUUUAAAUUUUUAUAAAUUAUAAAGAGGUCUAAAUAAAAAAAAAUUCAUUUUAGAGAACUGAGGUCCCUGUCAGUCACCCUAACUUCAUCACUGGCUUAAAAUAAAAUAUUUUAAAUCUAAACUCGAACCAUGAACUUGAAAUGAAUCAUGAACCUUAACAUUGGGCCAUUGGCCAAAAGUGUUUACCACAUUUCCAAAAUGUAAGAUUAAUUUAAAUAUGGAUUUAAUUUAUAUAGUUGUGUAAUGCAUGAAUUUAAAAUAAUUCAGAUUCGAGCUAAAAUGACAAAAAAAAAAUUGAUUUGAUGCAUAGUUAUUUGCCCCAAAACCAAUAAGAAGCAUUAGAGUCUGGGAGUGAUAAGGCUAAUGAUGAAAUUGUUAUAAAAAUAUGUAUUGAAAAAUAGAAUUUGAGACUUGAUAUACUUUCUUUAAAGUUUUUUUAUUUUAUUUUAUGCAUUUAAGAUACAAUAAAAUUUUAAUUUAAUUGUUGAGAUAAGGUGAAUUAGGCUGUUCAAAUGAGUUUUAAAUGACAAUUAAAAUGUCUAAUUAUUAAGAUGAAAAUAGGUUUUUAAUUAAAUAAAUUUAGACUGUCACGAUAUCCAAGUUGGCAUUUAAAACCUAUUUGGAUUGUCAUGUAGGUCUGCCAUUAGGGAAGUAAAAGAGUUUAACGAUAGAGUGAUCAUUUCGUAAUAAAACGAUAACAUAAGUGAAACUAAAACGUAAUAUUUCAAGCAUAAAUGAUUAAAAUGUAAUUUAAGGCAAACAAAAAUGACUAUUUUUAUUAUUUACCUUUUGUUUAUUGAUAAGGAUUUUUUUUUCUAACCAGAUUUGUAUAAAAAUGCAGCGACUCUGCUAACAUUUCUAAAACCCUAAAUCAAAAGGUGAACCUACUAGAUUAUGAUCUGGUGGCAGUGUUAACAUCUGUUAGUUGAUGAAUGUCAGAACUGUCUAGACCAAAACGUUUUCGUGAUAUUGGACCUAAUAAUACAAGAUCAGCAAGGUAGACUAGCUACAUGCUUUUUUUUACCAAAGAUGAGCAUAGCGCAAAUUUAUACAAAAACCUUUAUUGCUAAACAAAAGAACAAAAAAAGGAGCGGCGAAAGGCAAAUGAACCACAAGUGACCAAGAUAAGAACAAGACAAGGAUAUGGCAAGGAAAGAGCAUAGUGUUAAAUCUUUUUGGAAUGUGCUUUCAUGGCAAACAGAAAGCGAGAUUAACUGUACUGGGAUCUCUUGGAAUGUGCUUUAUUAAACUUUCUUUUUCAUUUUUUUUAUUGAUAGAUAUCUUUUGGUAGACUUUAGUGUUCAGAAAAUCUAAAGCUUUCAUUUCAGCUACAUUUGGAAUUCCACUACCUAUUGCAUGCAUCUGUUUGAAUUCUGGACAACUCUAUUAGACUAUCAGUGGUUGUUAGCUGUUAGCUGGUUAGUUAGACUGUUAAGCAGUUGCUUACAACUUCUGUUAGUUAAUUAGUGCAACAGGUUCAGUUUACAGAUGUUUAUCAGCUACAUAACUUUGUAUAAAUUAUGUGUCUUGUAACGAUAUAGUUGCUACUUUUGCUUCUGAUAAACAUAUUAAUUUACAUGAUUCUUGUGUUCAAUUUGGUUUAUUUUUGAAUUAAUUCCUACUUAAUUGGUGCUUUUAUGAUUUAAUCUUGUCAGGGAUGCAAUUGGUCAAAAACGAGCAAAAAUGGGCCAAAUUGAAAGACAAAUCGUUGAAUUGGGGCCAAAUUAAAAGGAUGAAGAAAGCCAAAGAUUUAUCAUAUAUUUUGACUUUAUAAAAAGCUAAAAAUAGGAAGAUAUUAUUUUGUUUUAUUAUUUAUUUUUAUUUUAUUUUAUUAAUUUUGGUUAGACUAUUUUUAGUAAACCCUAUGUAUAUAAAUAGGGGCUUUUAGUUCUUAAAAAAUCAUCCAUUGUUUUUACAUUCCUAUUUCAUUUUGGAAUCGAAUUACUCUCUCUCUCUUGUAUUUCCUUCUUCAAUUUAGAAUUGAAAUAUCAUUUUUUUUCUCUUCAAUUUUACGUUACAUUUUGAAGCCUUGUCUCCAAUUUUUUUUUUCUCUUUUCCAUAAUUGGGCCAAUUGCUCUCCAAGUCCUUUUCCAUUCAUCUCUUCACCAUAGUCAUCAAUCUUCUUUCCAAGCUCACAAAGCAUGAAAAAUUUCAUGAUUAACUAAAUUUUAUCUUAGCUUUAGUCCGGUGUUCUUUCCGGUAGGGAAUCGUGAGAUACGAAUUCAUGCUAAAAUCCGUCCAAUCGGUAUUCAUUCUUUUCCUAAGUAUUGGGAUUGACAACUCAUCCCUUAAGGAUAACUCGAUUACAAGUAAAAAAGUGCACGUUGGGUUGGGAUCGUGUUAGCUGACAGUUGGAGAAACGAGUAGGCCGUGCUGUAUUCGGAUCUCCGAGAACAAAUCGAGGAAGAGGUGAUCGGAUUUAAAUGACCCACACAGUUGAGGCUGUUAAUUCGAGUUGGGUUCUUCAGAACGCAAGGCUGCCGGGAUCUUGAGUCGGGAACACGUGUAUCUCGAUUAGAUAAUCGGUAACGGUUAGUUUGCAGGUCGUACCGGAACCAGCUACGAGAGGAGGAACUGGUGGUUAGGACGUUCUUAACUGCUAUAACCAGCUUAUCAUUUGGAGGAGAAUAUUAAUUUUCAAGGAUCGACUCUUAACACGAAAUUUACCGAGUCUAAGGCUAAAGCUUAUUUUCAAGGAUCGUUUGUCUUUACCGCAUUCAAGCCUGGUAUGAAUAGUUUAUCAGUCUGACUCUUUUUCAAAUUCGAUAAAUGUUGGUUGAUCGUAUAUUUCAUUAUAGUUCUAUGAUUCAGAGUAUCAUUUCCUAUUUGAUCCCUUUGAAUUCCAUAUUCGAAGUUGCGAUCGGAUCGCUUCUUUUUAAUGAAUCGAUUCAAUACAUUUCUUAUGUACCCAUAGGUGCUAUAUUGGAUUUGAAUCAGAUUUCGGAUCAAUCUAUCUUGAUUGACUGCCUCCAUUAUGUUGUUGCUAGCAAAUACCACUAUUUUUGGUUUUGGAUCUUCCAAAUCAUUCCCGCAGGAGAUCCGGACCCAUUUUUUUCUGAUCCUUCAAUAAAAAGAUUCAUUUUUUUCAUAAAAAAUAGGAGGUAGAGCCGAUAAAGAUUUCUUUUUCGAUUCAUCCCUGGAGUUGAAUACCUCAUUCAAGAAUUGUUUUUGAUCCAAUCCGUAGGAAUCAAUAGAAAAGGCAAAUCCCUUAUAAUACACCAGAUCCGGCUCGGUUAUUGAUAGAGUGAAUAGAUCUGCCAUUUCUUGAAAUCUCUCUUCUGAUUCAAAAUCGUGGUGUAACGUGUAUCCCCUCCUGUUCUGGUCAUGGAAUAGAUGAAAUAAAUCAAAAAAUGGAUUUUUGUUCAAGAAUGAAAUCUUAUUGGAACUGCCCAGUUCAUCCUUCGGAACCAUAUCACAUCCCGGAUCUGAUGAAAUAGGAUGAAUUGAGACGGUAUUUUGUAAAUACGUAAUUAUCUUGAAUAUAUUAACUAUUUCUUUAUUUUCCGAUCGCCUGGAAGGGACAAAAGAAACAUCUUGUUCUUUCUUCAACAAUUUCUGAUCUCUAGUGGACCUCUCAGUAGGGUUUGAACCCAGAUGAAGUUCUGACCAUCUAUCAGAGAAAAAAGAACGAAUGGAUCUUGUAGGAUUCCCAAGAAAUUCUUCAGUUGCAAAAUUCUGAAUUUAUUUUAUAAUUUAUUUAAUUAAUUAUUUAUGUUGUUUCAAUUGUCUAGUUUCUAAACAUUUCAAAAACCCCCGAUUUACUUUUAUUUCUAAUUUUUGCAAGUACGAUUGGAGUCGUGGGCACGACUAUUGCCACGACCUUCGAGACGGCAAACAAUUUGAUCAUAAGCUAUACACGGAAGUUGAUUAUAACAUCCAAUCCCUGUGGACUCGACCCUACUACCACUCUACUACUAAUUAGAGUUAUUUUGUAGGAAUUAUAUUUGGUGGUUUCGACGCCCAUCAGCUUCCUCAAUUAUACUUCAUCUCUUUCCCUUCACUUUCUCAUUACUCUUUUCCUUCUCUUUUUCAUUUGUUUUCUCAGCUACCAAACAUAGUUUUCGGUAUUCUCGUCCCAUUCAUCAAUCUCCAAGGCAAGUUCAAAGCACUACACCAAAUGUCGAUUUGCCUUCCUUUUUCUUUAAAAGCAAAAAUACGUAGAUAUGAAGACAAAGUGACAACAAAAUAGUUAAAACAAGAUCAACCAGUUUGAUUAUAAUCUAGUGUCAUAAAUGUGGUCUAAUAUGUGCAAAGGGUUAUUUUGUUAUAAGGUGAGGAGACGUUAUAAUUUAAUAAAAUAAAGUGUUGAAGAAAGAUAACGGAGAAAAAAUUAGUGCGGACCAUAAAAACAAGAGAUGGAAGAAAAUGGUGAUGGAAGCAAUAAGUGGUUAAGAAAGGUGAAAACUACAAUAAUUGUUAUAAUUGUUUAUAAAAAUGUGUAGAGAGAAUUCGUCAUAUGCUUAAGUUUUACAAAAGACUAAUAAGUCUCUAAAUGAAAUCUUUGGACCACUAUUUAUAUCUAUUUUAAGACAUUUAUCAAAAGGAUGGUUAUAAAAUAAGUGACAUAUUUUAUAGAAUGUGGGAAAGAUGCAAGUUAAUUCAUAAGAAUGCAAUAUGAAUAAUAGGUAAUAAGAGUGAAGGAAAUCAUGUUCACGUUGCUAGUAGCAAAUAAUAGCAGAGAAUGGUGGUGGAUCUUGCAAUUAAGUUUUAGGGGGGCUAACUAAAAUUUUUAAAAACUUUAUAGGUUUUAGUGAGAAUUUUCAAAAAUUUUGGUAGGUCUAAUUACAAUUUUCAAAAUUUUUUGAGGUUUUAUGAAAAUUUAUAAAAAAAAUGAAGAGUCUAAUUGAAAUUUUUAAAAAUGUUCAAAAGUUUAAUAAUAAUUUUCAGAAAAUUUUAAGAGUAUAACUAAAAUUUUCAAAAACUUUAGAGAAGCCUAGGCCCUAAUGAAGAUCCACCUCUGGAAGAGAAGUUAUAAAAAUAAUGCGUAUAAUGGUAGUUUCAUGAAAGUUACACUUAUUUUAUUAAAGAGAAUGCUUCUUACAAUUUUAAAUUUAAUUUGCUCAAAUUAAUAAAAAAAAAAGGAGUAAACACUUACAUUUCAUAAUCUUUAACUCCACAGCCUUCUCAGCAUGGAGUGUAGUUUUCAAGGGAUCAUUUUGUAGGGAACAUCAACUAGGGGUGUUCAGUCGGUUAACCGACCCGAAGUGACAUUAACCGAAUUAACCGGCCCUUCAAAAUUUUUAACCGUCAACUGAACCGAAAUUUUUUCAAAAAAAUUAACCGAGCCAAAAGCUUUUCGGUUAAUUUGGUUGGUUAACCGAAUUAACCGAAUUUUUUUUUGGUUAAAAUAAGUAUAAAAUUAACCGAAUUACCCGAAUUACCCAAAUUAACCGAAUUAUUUGUAUAAAAUUAUAUGUUUUUUAUUUUUAUUUAUUAAAUUAUUUGUAAUUUUUAUGAUUGGGUUGGGUACUUGGGUUAAUAUAUAUUAGAUUGGGUAUUUGGGUUUAUGUUAAAUUGGGUUUGAGUGAAUAGUAGGCUAUUUAUAUAUUAUAAUUUUAUUUAUUAUUUUUUCGGUUAAACCAAAAAAAUUCAGUUAAUAGACCGGUUUCGAACCGAAUUAACCGUUAACCUAAAAUUCAAAAAAUUAUUAACCGACCCCCAACCGAAUUAAUUCGGUUAACAGACCGAUUAACCGAAUUCGAUCGGUUAUCCGAAUUUUUUCGGUUUUACCCAAAUUUUGCACACCCCUAACAUCAACCACUAACAAUACUAUUAACAAAAAUAUUAAUAACCAAAAAUAGGUAUCUACACUCUGAAAUUUGAGGCUGAAGUUGGGCACAUAUUUGAACAUUUGAUGAGUGAAAAUUGGGGUUAGAGAGGGAAGUUAACUUUUGUGAAACCUAUAAAGGAUGAUGCCAUUGCCAAUGGAAUCAAAAGGAGAGAGGAGAGGACCACUUUCGUUUAGAAACAAAUUGGAUGUGCCUCGAAUAUACUGUUUUAUACUUGCUAGCUCUUCACCAACAAUAUAUAUAGGCCAUAAGGGUUUAAACAUUGCAUCCGCAAAGUGAAAUGCAUGGAUGUAUUUGGUUUCAAAGCUAAAGAUGGAAAAAUGCAUGGGUGCAUUACUGGGUGAAUCUCCUUUGGAAGGCAACUAAAACUCGGUUACAUUGCAUGUUGGCAUGCCAUGUGGUGGGCGACAUGCGAUGCGAUGCUUAGCUCACUGCCAAAGGAGAUUUGCCCCGCAAUUCAGCCAUGCAACACGUUUAGGAAGCUAUACCAUCAUCAUCAAUUCAUCAUCAUCAUCAUCUACGCUUGUUUAAGUUUGAUGUAGCUAGAUUCGAGAUAUUAGUAAAUAGUUUGUUUAAAUUACUUUUACAGCAUGUUUUUUUUUAUGCUUCGAAUUACGCGGACAGGAAAACAAAAAUGCUAUAGUGUUUAAUGCAGUUAUUAAUUGCAAUUCAGCAUGUCAUUCUUUUAUUGCAAUUCUACGGAAUUCCUGUUGAACCCUUAUUCAAAAUUUUAAUAAUAUUCCUUCAAAUUCAAAUUCGACUAAUUCGAACUCAAAUUAAUUUAAAUAUUAAAUUAUUCGAAACUGAAAAUAACUUAAUUUUUAAAUUAUUAAAAUAAUAAACUUAAAAUCUAAAUAUGAAAUUACUUUUUAGGAGUUUUUUUAAAAUUUAAGAGGAAGCAAAACUUACUUUCUAACUUACGAAAAGACUUUAAUUUUUUGGUUCGAGAAAAUUAUAUUUUGGCUUUAAAAUUAUUGUAAUCAUUUUUCAACUUUUUCCCUAAAACCCUUCCCUUUUUUUUCUUUUUAGAAAAAAGAAGUAAAGUGAAAAAGGUUUGCAUAAUAAAUAGAAAAAAUGAUUGAAUAAUUGAAUAAUUAUAUUCGUUCACAUUGGUUUCGACCGUUGCCUAAUUUAUUUCCUUCUUCCAUGAAUAUACUAUAUACUUUCCUUUUUUCAAAACCCCAAAUAGCCCCCCACUGACUUAAGCGGUCAGUUUCUUCCUCACGUUACCAAAACUACCCUUCAUUGUUUUACCCCGCAAAUCUCGUACUCCAAAUGAUUUGUAAUUCAUAUAUUAAUAUUUAUUAGCGUACCAAAUUUUAUAAUAAUAAUAUUUUAAUUAUAAUUAUAGUAAAUAAAUAUAAUAUAAAUAUACAUAAAUCUCGCAACAAAUGGAAAUGGUUAAAUCUUUGUCAUGUCAAGAUACUAAUUUUGUAAUCUGAAAGACAGUUAAAUUUAAAUAUAAAUCGUAAAAUAAAUAUGAAAAAUAUCAUAAAAAAUAACAUAAAGAUUUAAUUAUGCAUUCAGUCUUGUAUUCUUUAGACUUUAAAAUUUUAAUAUUUUUUUAGUUUAUUUUCUAAUAAUUUAAUUGAUCUACUUGUUUAAUUUGAAAAUUAAAAUUCAAUUAAUAAGUUUGCUAGUGAAUUUUCAUUAGAUUUGUAUAUUUGAUAUUUUAAUAUUCAAAUUUUUAAUUUAAAAAAUUAAAGUACAAUUGAUAAAAAAUAUUCAAAUUUAAAAUAAUUUAGUUAAUAAUGUUAUAUAACAUUAAAUUUAUAUUUUGGCAAAGAGAGACUAAAUUCCUAGGAUUAAAAGUAGAGGGAUCAAAUAUUAAAAUUCUCAAGAGUAUAAGGACCGAGGGAGGGAUUAAACCUAAAAAUAAAAGUGCAGCAGCUUCUAGUAGUCCCCCUCUGUUUUAUCCGUGUUUAUAAUAAAGCCUUGUUUUUUACAUCUCCUGGCCCCUUUUUUCUCAUGGAUGGUUCAAAGAAAGUCAUGGAGCGCUUUGACUAUCUAUGGUUUUUCAACAAUGUGCUCACUUUAACACCACUCCACCACAAGCUCAACCCUCCCCCCACCGCACCUUCCGUCGACGUCGAUACCGGUGACGAACAAAAACCACCCAAACCCGACAUUCUUCUUCAAGAGGCAGGAGCAUCUGUCCCUGGCUCUGAGAUUCCCGUUCCGAGGUGUCCCAACUGCGGCGAAAUCGCCGUCGUCACCGACCAGCAGCGGGUGGUUCAGCCAUUAGCGAAGCCAACGGAGAAGCCCGCGGAGAGGAGGAAGAGGCGGCGGCGGAGGAGGAAACGGAGCAAGAGAAAAGUGCUGGGAGAACUUGAUUUGGGGUUCUAUGGUAAUUUGGAUUCCGAGUCUUCGUUUUCUGAAGGAACAUAUGGGUAUAAAAGCUUUGAUAGCCGACAUUAUAUCAUGAAAAUGCCUCCUUCAAACGAUGGUUUCGCCAUGAAAGAACAUCUUAAAUCAUGGGCUUAUGCUGUCGCUUGCACUGUCAGAUAAUUAUCAGUAUUUGCUACUGCUACUAAUUAUAAACUUGUCUCCAUGACUAUUGACGUUGUAUUUUUUCUUUUUUCUUUUUCGCAGCAUGUAAUUACUAAUUAGUAUGUUCUUAAUAACCAAGGUUAAUUACUUAAUUGUAGUUGUUUUGUUUUAAUUAUGGAUAUGAUAAACACUUUUAGAAUUCAAAUUCAAGCUUGAUGGGGUUAUCUCAAGAAAUUGUAGUGUUUCAAAAUUAUUGCUUUGAAUUACAUUAACUUCAAUGACAAAAAAAAUACCAAAAUCGUACGUUUUCAUUUUCUAUCCUUGCAAUGGGGAAACUUCCAAUUCCAAGGCUCCUCCACAUUUUGCCCCAACAUUUAGUAUUUUGUAGUACAUACAAGAUCAAAAGAAAAAUCAUGAGGCAUGAUUGUUAGAGUAAAGACCAAGAAACUUUCACGUGAAGGAGAAAGAUAUGUGGAUGUAUAGAAUCUACUUUGGUACGAUGAAAAAUAUAUUAAAUUUUCUGAUAAUAUAAUUACUACCCCUCAAUUACGAUUCAUGUUAUGGUUCCAGUUGAACAGCAACACAUCUUCUUUUAUGGUUCUUUUCAGGUUUAGUUUUCUUCUAAUCUUUGUUGUCAUGAGGUUGCAGGAACGGGGAGUUACUUGGUCGUGUCUGUUCGGCUUAAUCACCUGGCGAAUUUAGAAGAAUAUGAGCCUCUUAAUCUUCCAGAACGCUACUUGGUCAGCUUUUGAAAUUGUCAAAACUUCUCUUAGCACAACAAUUGACUAUGCCUUAAUGGAUACAAGAUCAACUCCCUAAAUUUGGUUGAUCAAAUGCACUUUGAAGGAACGAGAGUUCAUUUGCUCUGUGGUGGUGCAGUGGAUAGAGGCAUCGGGAGUGCUUUUGUUGGUGGUGUGAUACGCGAUCCGGUUGGUUACUGGAUUUUAGGAUAUAAUUGUUAUCUGGCCAUAUAUACAACUUUUGAGACAUAACUAUGAGGCAUUCUGGAUGAGCUUCUCAUUUUGUUAAAUAAAGGCUACAAACGGACCACAAUUCAUGCGGAUAAUCUAGAGGUGGUUCAAGUCAUGACUGUUAAGAGGUCAGAAUAUUCAAAUAUUACCUUGCUUAGAAGGGGCUAGCGGAUUAUGAAUUCUGAAUAGAACAAAUAUGUAUCUAUAGAUUGCAACUUAAUUGCGAAUCGGCUGGCUAAGGUCAAUUUAACAUGCCAAUCAAGCUUACAUAUUUUUGAUGUGCCUCCUGAUGAUGUAUUAGAGGUUCUUCAACAAGACAAAACAUAUGACGCUUUUGAGUAAUUGAUUUGAUGUAACUUUAUUUUAUUUAUUGCUAGUCAAAAGAAAAAGUUUCAUGUAAAAUUAUACAUUAAAAUAAAAUUAAUGUAUAAAUUUAAUAUUUAUGCCUAAUAAGUAUUAUUCAAAUAUUAAAAUUCAUAAAAUUUAUAUUUUAUUUAAUGGAAAAUUUUCAAAAACAUUCCUAAUAAAUUGUUUAACUAAUCAAACAUUGUAAUGUAAAUUUCUUAAAAUUUCAUAGAUACUAAAUAUAAUUUUAUCUGCAUAACAAUUGCUUUCUUAAAAAUAAUAUAAUCCAAAAAUCAUAUUUUAUUGAAAAUCUUAACAUCAAAAAUAAAAAAACCACAUCCGGUUUUCUGAAAGCAUCCAAGAAACCUCUCAUUUAUUUUUAAUUAUUUUUCUAUAUAGUAAUUAUACUACCUGUUGGAAGAAAACAGUGUUUUCACUGUUAAUUCCUCAGGCAUGCACUUCCUUACUUUUUCCCUUUUUUUUUCUUCACGUUCAACUCAUUUCACAUUUUGACCCACACCGCUCUCUAAAUCCACACCCUAAAGAUUUGUUCAUCAUUUCUAACUCCCCAGAACAAUUUUUUUACUUCGCCAUAGGUUUAGGAGAAGAAAGGUAUAUCACAUGUUAGAACUAACCAUAGAACUUACGUACCACCCAUUAAAUGAAUCGAAAUUGGGUUUUUGUCUUUUGGUAUGAACAAAAACAUGAGGAGGGUUUGUUUUUUUUUUUUUCUUCUGACAUGUUUGGUCAACUUUUUGUUUGAUUCAAGCAGAGAUGUUGUGUAAUAAACUUUAUUGCUGCCAUGUUAGAAACUGCAAAGGCCUAUCUACAUCAAGCUGCUGGUUGGGGGUAACAGAGGAGAGGGCAUUGGUGGAAUCAUUCAAAAAAAGAAACGACAUUAGCAAAAAUAAAAACUUUUUAUAGGGUAGUGACAAGUUUAUGGUAGGGCCAAAUUUGGGGUCACAUGCAAAGAUCAUUCUCGGUUUUAUUGGGAGGAAACAAGGGAAUGAUGCCCAAAAUCUAAAUAUUUAAUUUAUUCAUAAUAAUAUGUUACUUGCUAUAUAGUUACGAUUCAAAUAAAUAAAUAGAGAAGUGGGGGGUGAUAAAGUCAAAAGCAAUGAAACUAGGCAUGUUUUGCCUAAUCCAUAGCUACUACUUUAUUUUAUCAAUUGGUUUAUUGUAAUACAAAUUAGUAUUGAAUUAUUUUUCAUUAUAAAGUCAAGUUCUAUAUGGGAAAGGUUAACUAGUUGAUUAUUUUUAGUGAUUUUUGGUUUAUUGAAUGUUUAUCAGAUUUUGAUUUGUUCGAAAGUUUUUCAAGUAAGAGAUGUUUCCUCUACCACAACAAUAAAAAAUUGUUUAGAGUCUUAUCAUAUUAUGAUUGAAGAUCAAAAGUAUUGUUAAUUGAGAAAGUCAUAUUAACGUUUCGGGAUUUUUUUAUUUUAUUUUCAAUUUAAGUGAGAAAGCUUUACUCAAGCAAUGAAAGCUCUUUACUUUCGUCACGAAGUUUAGGUUGUUUGUCUUUAGUUUAGUACAGAACCAAGGCUCUCAACUACUUUCUUUGUUCAUUGUAAUCGAGUUUGCGACUUUUGUGAACUUCCGUCUCUAUGAGAUUUUUGUUCUUGGUAUGCUUGUAUUUUUUUUAAUGUGAAAUGAAUUGAACUUUUAAUAAAAAAAAUGUGAUCGUAAAAAUAUGAGUGAAAAAUUAUUUUUUUGUAAAAUAAAGUAAAUUAUCUUGGUAAUUUUUUUAAAUGAAUUAGUUUUUAAUGUCGUGAUUUUAUGCAUUUAAUUUUUAAUUAAUUUUUAAAUAACAUAUCUUUUAAUUAUUGUUACCUAUCAUCGAUAUUGAUAAUUUUUUUAAAACUUUAAAUAAUAUAUAAAAUUUGAACUAUAUAAGAAAGUAAGCUAUAAUGUUAAUUUGAAAAAAAAUAAAAUAAAAAUAAAGUAAAAUAACAUGCGUAAAUUAUAAUAGCUCAUGAUAAAUAAAAAAUAUAUUUAUCCUAAAUUAAUAAACACAAUUAAUAACAGUGCUCGAAAAGUAAUGGUUGAGAUUUGACUCUUUUUUUUUAAAAACAAACCAGGAAAACAUUUUUCAACUGCACCAAACAAAUAAUACAUAGAUAAAAGAAACAAUUUUAAGGGUGAUUGUUUCUUCGAACAACCAUUGCUUUAAUGCUUCAUUAUUUUUUAUAUAAUUCUAACUUAUUGAUACUAACAACCUCCAUUUUUUUAUCAGUAAUUUUUUUUAGAUGUUCCUUGAUUGAAUAUGUCUAACACUAUUUAUAAAGCUAAACUUAAAUUUUAAUUGAUAUAUAACUAUAAUAUUAAUUAAUUGAUAAUUAAGAUAUUUACAAUUCUAUACAAGUAAUAACUUUGUUUUACAUCAAUAAAAUUAGUGUGAUUUAAAAAAAAUUAACACAACUUUAUUAUGCUAAAAUUUUUAACUAAUAAUUGUAAAUUUAAUUAUAAUUAUAUUUAUCACAAUUUUUUCAUUUUUUAUUCUAAGAGUCCUAUUUAAGUAAUAACUCUAUUUUACAUCAACAAAAUUAGCAUAAUUUUUUAUUUUUUAAAAACACUAAUAUUAACACAACUUUUUUAUGUCAAAUUUUUUAACUAAUUACAAUUAUCACAAAUUUUUUUAUAUUUUAUGUUUAAAGUUCUAUUCAACUAAUAAUUUUAUUUUUAAAAUUAGCGUAAAUUUUUUAACUAAUAAUUCUAAAUUAAAUUAUAAUUAUUUCUAAAACUAAUUCAGUAAUAUGAUAGAAAAUAAAAGAUAUUAUAGAUAUUUUUCCAAUUCGUGCUUUUAUAUAUAUUAUAGAUGUUUUUUUGAGUUAAUUGCACAUUUGCACCAGACAUCCUCGAAAUAUGAUCUCCAUUCUAAAUUGAUCUCCAAACUACAAACUAUUGAUGUUAUAUUAAUCAUGUCUUUCUGUUAUUAAAAUAGUUAAUUUAACCAUUAAAUAACAUAUCAAAUCUUAUGUAGCAUAAUUUAAAAUGAAAAUUUCAUUAAGGAUGUUUAGGGAUGCAAUUAGAACGUUUUAAAGUUUGAAAACUAAUUUAGAAUGAAAGUUAUAGUUUGAGGAUGUAUAGAUUAAUUCUAAUUUUUUAUAUCAUUAUUUUUACAAUUUUAAAAUGAAAUUUUCUUUUUUAUUAUCAAUUUUCAAUAAAUUUAAUUAAUUUCUUUUUAAAAAAUCAAUCAGCUGCUUUAUGAUAUGUUUGUUUAAUAAAAAAUAAAUUAAAAUUUGUCGAAAAAUUAAAUAAAUUCUAUUUAAAAGAAUAAAUAAUUCUUCUAAUUUCAGUGGUAAUUUUUGUUUUUAACAUCUUGAAUCUAAAGCUAUCAAUCUAAUAGUUUUAUAUAUAUGUUUAAAAUUUGAUAUGAUAAUUUUAAAUAUGCUCCAUGUCAGAUAAAAAAGUAGCAUUUCACUCCUAUGCUAAUGCUAGGCUAAAAGGACUUGAUUGAUAUGAAAUUAAUAUUUAGAGGACUCAAUUAGAACAUUUUGAAUUCUAGAGCGAUUUAGAAUCUUGGUCAUAGUUUGGGGGCGUAAAGUGAAAUUAACCCUUUUCUUUAAGAAUAAGAAACUGGGCUUAAUGUGGGCUCAUGCUCAAGCCCAAUCUAGCUUCACAGUGGACCGUUAAGCCACUAUUGUUCUCUGCUGAACUGACUUCCUAGAAAAUCAAACCGCAAAGCCAGAGUCCAUUAGAAACGCAAAACAAGAGAGAAGGAAACCGGCGAGACAAAGUCGAAGGCGGAGAAGCGCCGCAGAUGACGGAGCCAAGACGAUUGAGAGGACACAAGGCUACCGCCACUUGCUGUAUCGCCUCACGUGACAAGCCCGGCCUCGUCGCCACUUCCGGCGAAGUAACCCCUACACUCGUCUUCUUAAUCUCCUUCGAAUUUCAAUUUUCACUGAAACUUGUCUGUUUUAAUAAUAUUAAAAAAAUUAAUUUUUAAAUUAGGAUGGUUGCAUUUGUUGGUUUGAUAUGCGAUGCAAAGAUGUGAAAUUUGUUAUGGAUGUUAGCAAUGAACCAAUUUCAUCCCUUUGCUUCAACUCAGGUCAUUUUCUAUCAUUUAAAAAAAAAAUUCUUAAUGCAUUUCUAAUUGAUUUUUCUUUUAAUUACUUAUUAUUAUUUAUUCUUGGCAUCAAAUGCAGGAAAUGAGAAUAUCAUCUAUGUUUCAACUGGAAAUGAGGUCAAGUCCUUUGAUGUGCAUAUGGUAAAUUUAUAUUCCUAUGACUGCUUUUGUUUUGAUUACAUUUGAAAUUUGCUUAUAAAUUGUUCGUUUAUAGUUAGCAGAUAACUCAUGGAAGCCUUUGGAGAGCUAUAACUAUAAUAAAGAGGAGAUAAAUCAGGUAGAAAUUUGAGAUUUUUUUGGGAAAGAAAUUUAAAGGUGCUUUAGUUUAUGAAUUUGUAAAGUUUAGUAUGUGUUGGCAUAUUAUAUUUUUUUAUGUUUAUGCAGGUUACUUGUAAUUCCAGAUCAUCUUUCCUUGCAUCUGCGGAUGAUGGCGGUGAGAUUAAGGUAAUUCGAUUUUCAUUAGUUUAAUGGUCUGUCUUAUGCUAGUAAUAUAAAUUAUUAUUGCCAUGAAGAAUUUAUUUGUUGGUUUAUUUAACUGAUAAUGUUAAAAUUAUCAAUGAAUAAUAUAUCUAAUGUCAUACGUGCAGAUUUGUAGUUUUGUUUUCUAGAUAGAUAUUGUUUGAAUUUUAACAUUUUAGCCUCGUAUGGUCAUAUAUGUUGCAGAUCAUUGACAUUCAUCAGAAACGUAUUUUCAAGACAUUGAGAGCCGGACAUACAAGUGUAUCCUUACUCUUUAAGCCAUUUGCCUGUUCCUAUUGUGUAUGAUAAUUUAAUGUCCUGUGAUAUAUGAACUGAAAUUUCCUGGCUCUCUAUUUUAUUUCUGGAAAGUUUCCCUUCGAGCCCUUGUUUUUACAGUGAGACUUUUAUUGACUUGUUAUUAUGGUGAUCCGAAAUGGGGGGAUUAGAAGGUGGUUAGCUAUUAAUUUCUGGUUGGAGUUAGCUUGAAUCUUUAUCCUUCUUUCAUAUCUUUCUCGCCUUAACACAUCACAGAUUUGCAGCAGUGUUCAGUUCAUUCCUUGGAGACCUUGGGAAAGUAGGUCUUUAAGGUUUUAUAGUACUCUUUAAAAUCUCUAACUUCGUUUUCUCUUAGCUGUCCAUUACAGUUAUUCUAUUUGAAUGACGGUUCAUAAUAUUUUUACUCUAUUUUAAUGUGGCAGUCGUUACAGGAGGUCUUGAUUCGAAGUUUAUCAUAUGGGACUUCUCAAAAGGGCGCCCAUCCAAAAUUGUGGAUUUUGGUAUAUAUGUCUUAAAAAUUCUUUGUUUCAUGGUUCUAUGGAGGUUCUUCAAAUAUUAAAUGUGUCAUAUCUACAGCAUUUUUAUAAUAUCAUUGACAAUGAACUUAAGCUGGUGCAUAUUUGCUCAUUGUGAUUAUUCUAGACAAACACAAGGCUAGUGCAUGUUCAAUUCUCGUAUUUUUGCCCCUUCACUGCAGGCCUGGCCGACAUGCGUAGUGGUAGUAAUGCUGGACAAUGUUUAAAUCCAGCUUUUGUUCACUCAGUAAAAGUCCCAGAUGUUGAUAUGUUGGACAAAAUAGGCAAGAUAUGUGUUGUGGCAAGGGGUGAUGGUGUUAUUGAUGUGAUUAAUACGGAAUCAGAACUUACAGCCACAAAACCUAAAAGUUCCACGAAAUCUCGAAAAGGAACUCAGUCCAAAGGAAGUGACGGUGGAGUUCCCGAUGAAAAUGGAAGAAAAUGGUUGCAUUUAGAUUACUCUUUAGGUGGUCAUACUGCUGCCGUGUCUUGCGUGACAUUUUCGUUGUUUGGAGAGAAGGGGAAGUUCCUUGUAUCGGGUGGAAACGAUAAGUUAGUCAAAGUCUGGGAUUGCUCUAGGUGUCUCGAUUCAUGGCAGACAGGAGAUACCAACGAGCUGCUACAUUUGAAUAUCAAUUUAACCAAAAAGGUGAAUCUCAUUGCUUCAUGUACUGUAUAUGUUCAAUUUCUCUUCGGAGCUUCUCGUUUUUAACCACUUCUGUUGUCAGGUAAAUUGGCUCUGUACAACUCCAGCUGAAUCGGACAACCUCGUUGUCUGUGACACAACUAAACUUGUGAAGGUGUACAGUGUUUCCUAAACCAAAGCUGCAGAAUCAUCACGUGAGGUUUGUCAUUUAUUACUGUUUCUGGAGUAUGUUGUUGCCAAAGAUUGACAUGGCAUCGGGAGCACUAGGAAAUUAUGUAAGCUUGAAAUAGUUGGUUAUGUUGAGUAUUAUCUUUGUUGAAGAAAAUACAAAGGAAACAAAUAUGAUCCCAUAGCUGUUACCGUGUUGAUGUAAAGUUGAUACUGCAAAUUUUGGAGUAGUUCAUUCCUUUACCUUUCAUCCCUUGUGAACAAGUAAGCUGACUCUUUUCAUUUCAUUAUACUUACCAUUGGACUACAAAGCAAAAAUAAGUAUUGUAGCUUGAUAAACAAAGGUUAUGUAACCCACACAAAUAUAAUCAUUUAUUUGUUUUGCUUAAAGGAUCUUUUAUUUAUUUAAUAUUAUUUGAACAUGACUCUCACGAGAAAAAUAGGUUAAACUCUGCUCUUUGUGUAAGUUGUGGAUUUAAUUUUUAUACUCUGAUUUGGUUAGUUUUAGUCCCAUGCAUUUUGAAUUAGGCAAUUUUACUCUUAUACUUUUCAAAAUUUAAAAUUUGGUUUUGCUACUAGUGAAUUUGGUUUUUAUUCUCCAAUUUGAUCAUUAUUAGUUCUUAUGCUUUUUGAAUUUUUCAAUGUUAACUUAGACGAUAACCGUUAAACUUAUUAAUUAAAAUAGCUUGGUUUUUCUAUGAAUAUUAUAUGAAAAUAAUAAUCUCACAUAAUAUAUGUUUGUAGUAUAAGAUGAUGUUUGUAGUAUAUGUUUGUAGGCGGGGUCUUGCCCCCAAUGGCCAAGCCAAGAAAUUAUUUGGAGAGCCAAUAUUAAUUAAAAAUUUAGAGGACAAAGUGUAAUUUUAUUAUUAUAUUAAUUAGUAAUUUUUUAAAAAUUACAGAGACUAUAAAGAAUUUUUCAUUUUGGGACAAGUCACUGCCUGGUCCCUCUCCCUACUCGCCCCUUAUUUGAAUGGAAUGAUAACAAUUUUAGUCCCUCUCAAUUAAAAAUAGUUUAAUUCAACCCUUUUUAAAACAAAAUUUUUAGCUUCACUUCUCCAACUUUUAUAAUUUUAUUUUGACCUCCAAUACUAAAUUCUUGGCUUUGCUCUUGAAAAUAAUAGAAUUUAACUUAAUAAAUUUAAAAUUAUUAUUUAAUUAAGAUCAAAAUUUUAAAAAUUGGAAAGUAUAAAUAAUAAAAAUGAACAGAUUAAGAUAUAAAAAUCACGCAUAGAACGAAAAUUAAGAUCGGGAUUUGACUAAAAAAUAUAAGUCUUCAAUCAGGCUGAAUAGAAUAUGCAAUUUUGGGUAGCAAAAUCAAUGUCAGAAAACAGAGGUCCAUGACAACAGCUAUGUGGUAGGGACAAUCUGGUCUGGCCAAAUUUUGGUACAUGUUUGGUUUGGUGUCACUCCUCUUCCAUUCCUGACUCAUUAUUUUAACCUUCUCUUUUUCAUUUUUUAAAUCAUAAUAAUCUUAAUUUGUUGGUUAUAUACCCAGUUGAAUAAUGUUUAUUUGCUUCUUUUUCCAAUUUAUGAUCUUUGCUUUUCAACUUACUAGAUAUGAUAUUUUUCUUCUAUUUUCUGAAAUCUCCAAAUUUAUGAGACAGUAAAUUAAUGCGAGGCGUAUUAUUUAUGGUUCAACAGUGACAUGCAUUUAGAAAAGGGUGAAAUUAUUUAUUAGUUAUUAUACUAUGUGUAAAUUGUAGAUUUAGUCUAUAGACAUUAAUUUGAUCAUUUUUAAUAUAUUUAUUUUUUAAAUUUUGAAAUUCCGGUCUUGACAAAAUUGUGAUGGUUAAAUUUGUUAAGUUAUGUUAUUUUCAAAUUUUAUGCGGCAAAUAUAUUAUCACAUGUAUUAUAAAUACGUAGGGAUGGAUCUUGACAUUGAGUUUUCUUUUGAGGGGUGAUUGACUAAAAUUUUUAAAAAUUUUGAAGGUUUUAAUGAGAAUUUUCAAACAAUUUUGUAUGUUUAACUAAAACUUUCAAAAAAAAAAUUUUGAAAGGUUUAAUGAGAAUUUCAAAAAUUUUGAGCGGGCUAAUUAAAAUUUUCAAAAAAUGUAUAAUAAAAAAAUUCAAAAACUCUUUGAGGUCAUAAAGAUCAUCAGCCCCUGUAAAUACGUCAGCUUGUUGUUUCCUCAUAUUACUCAUAGAAAAAUCAUGUUAUUUUAAUUAACAGAUUUAAUGGCUAUCAUUUGAUUUAGGAGUAAAAUCUAAAAAUUCGAAAAGUAUAAAAACUAAAAAUGAUUAAAUUGAAGAACAUUAAUUAAAUCAACAAUUUACCAGACCAAUAACAGAAUUUUGAGUUAACAAAUUUAACUGCUACAAUUUGGUUUAAAACCGAAAUUUCAAAAUCCAAAAAGUAUAGGGACUAAAAUUGAUCAAAUUAGAGUACAUGGGUUAAAUUCACAACUUACUUAUAGUACAAGGAUUAAUAGCAUAAUUUCACCUUAGGCAAAUGCCAGUUAGUUAAAGAUGUACCUUGCCCAACCGAAAGCUUCCUUAAACUUCCCGCAAUUUUUUAAAUUUCUUUUUCCCUUAGAAAAAAGAAAAAAAAAAUGUAAGCUUUGCUUGUCAGAGAUUUCUCUGCAAAUACAUUGACACCAACAACCCACCCUCCAUUACACUACCAACCGGCCUUCCCCUUCAACCUUUCUUCACCAUUACAACAUGCCUAUCUCCACCCUUAGCCCAACAUGCACUUAUAUCUUGUGUUUGGUUGUUUUUCUUUUUCAUAUAAAAACACACAACAAGACACAAAGGUAUUGAGAGAUAAGUAGAGGGAAAGACCCUUUGGUUAGCAUAUUGUUUGUAGCAUUGGGUUUUUCUCAAGGAAGAAGAAGGAGAAAGAUAAGUAAUGUUUUUGAGAAUGAUGGAAUCUGGGGUUCCUGUUUGCCACACUUGUGGUGAACAUGUUGGGUUGAAUGUUAAUGGUGAACCCUUUGUGGCUUGCCAUGAGUGUAAUUUCCCUAUUUGUAAGAGUUGUUUUGAGUAUGAUCUUAAGGAAGGACGAAAAGCUUGCUUGCGUUGUGGUAGUCCGUAUGAUGGUACAUUUCAUUUUAAUUCUUGAUGCUAGUUUUUUACUUGUUUCCAUUUGGUUCUUGAUAAAUCUUUGUUAUAAUCUUGUGUUUGCCAAGUGCUUGUUUGAUUUCCCAUGAAAAAGAUAAAGAUAGAGAAGUUGUAAACUGAUUGCACGACUGAUUAUUGUGAACUCCUCAGAAAACCUGUUGGACGAUGUCGAGAAGGCCACCGGCGAUCAAUCGACAAUGGCUGCACAUUUGAGCAAGUCUCAGGUAUUGUUUUUUGCUGCUUUUGAAAGGUUCAGUCAAAGCCAGGAGGGAUAUUGAGAGCUUUGUGUUAUUCAUGUUGGUUUAUACAGGAUGUUGGAAUUCAUGCAAGACAUAUCAGCAGUGUGUCUACAUUGGAUAGUGGUAUGUAAUAUAAAUUUCUUUCCAUAUUAUUGGUUUCUUUCUUUCAAUUUCCUUCAGUUCUGAAAGCUCGAAUCGUCUCGUAAAAUAUCGUAGAAAUGACUGAAGACAAUGGGAAUCCGAUUUGGAAGAACAGGGUGGAAAGUUGGAAAGAAAAGAAGAACAAGAAGAAGAAGCCUGCAACAACUAAGGUUGAAAGAGAGGCUGAAAUCCCACCUGAGCAACAAAUGGAAGAUAAACCGUAAGUAUUUAAUUAGAAAAGCCUUGCUUGAUUUUGAAAUAUACAAAGCAGAUUAAUGAUAAGAGCCUAUUUAGUGAAAUGAUUUUUGUUUAUGUUAUGUGUUACUGAUAUGUAAUAUUUGCAUCUGCAGGGCACCGGAUGCUUCCCAGCCCCUCUCGACUAUAAUUCCAAUCCCGAAAAGCAGACUUGCACCAUACCGAACCGUGAUCAUUAUGCGAUUGAUCAUUCUCGGUCUUUUCUUCCAUUAUCGAGUAACAAACCCCGUUGACAGUGCUUUUGGACUGUGGCUCACUUCAGUCAUAUGUGAAAUCUGGUUUGCUUUUUCCUGGGUGUUGGAUCAGUUCCCUAAGUGGUAUCCUGUUAACAGGGAAACAUACAUUGACAGACUAUCUGCAAGGUAACCAAUACCAUUAAUGAUGCUAAUAACAUAAGUUAUCUUAUUUCAGCUGAUUUAGUAUCAUAAUUAUGUAACAUAUGGAUUGUUACUAAGCUUGUUGGAUACCAUGGCAGAUAUGAAAGAGAAGGUGAACCUAAUGAACUUGCUGCAGUUGACUUCUUUGUGAGUACAGUGGAUCCAUUGAAAGAGCCUCCAUUGAUUACUGCCAAUACUGUGCUUUCCAUCCUUGCCUUGGACUACCCUGUAGAUAAGGUCUCUUGUUAUAUAUCUGAUGAUGGUGCGGCCAUGCUGACAUUUGAAUCUCUAGUAGAAACAGCCGACUUUGCAAGAAAGUGGGUUCCAUUCUGCAAAAAAUUUUCCAUUGAACCACGGGCACCUGAGUUUUACUUCUCACAGAAGAUUGAUUACUUGAAAGAUAAAGUGCAGCCCUCUUUUGUAAAAGAACGUAGAGCUAUGAAAGUAAGUUCCUCAAGCUUCUUUAGCAGCAUUUCUUGAAUAUCCAUAGCACUUAGAUGUUGUAAUAAUUUCCUUUCAACUUUGGUUACAGAGAGAUUACGAAGAGUACAAAAUUCGAAUCAAUGCUUUAGUUGCAAAGGCUCAGAAAACACCUGAAGAAGGAUGGACAAUGCAAGAUGGAACUCCUUGGCCGGGAAAUAACCCGCGUGAUCACCCUGGCAUGAUUCAGGUUUUCCUUGGAUAUAGCGGUGCUCGUGACAUCGAAGGAAAUGAACUUCCCCGACUGGUUUACGUCUCUAGAGAGAAGAGACCUGGCUACCAACACCACAAAAAGGCUGGUGCUGAAAAUGCUUUGGUGGGUUAUACAUGAUACAAUACCAGACUUUCAUAAAGAUAGAUUAAAUAUUUUCUGAGUUGCAACUGACAUGAAUAGCUUGUUACAGGUUAGGGUGUCUGCAGUUCUUACAAAUGCUCCCUUCAUCCUCAAUCUUGAUUGUGACCACUAUGUUAACAAUAGCAAGGCAGUUAGGGAGGCAAUGUGCUUCUUGAUGGACCCACAAGUCGGUCGAGAUGUCUGCUAUGUGCAGUUUCCUCAAAGAUUUGAUGGCAUAGAUAGGAGUGAUCGAUAUGCCAAUCGGAACACAGUUUUCUUUGAUGUAAGAUCAAAGAUAAAGCCAAUUUUCUGCUUAAGUGCUUCUGACAGUUUUAAACCUCUUGAGUUCUGACAAUUCAUCCAAAUUUAAACUUCAGGUUAACAUGAAAGGUCUUGAUGGGAUCCAAGGGCCUGUUUAUGUGGGAACAGGUUGUGUUUUCAAUAGGCAAGCACUUUAUGGCUAUGGUCCACCUUCAAUGCCAAGUUUUCCCAAGUCAUCCUCCUCAUCUUGCUCGUGUUGCUGCCCCGGCAAGAAGGAACCUAAAGAUCCAUCUGAGCUUUAUAGGGAUGCAAAACGGGAAGAACUUGAUGCUGCCAUCUUUAACCUUAGGGAAAUUGACAGUAAGUCCAAAAUCUCUCAGAAAAUUAUAGUUAGAUUAAUUCUUUACUAAGCUCAUGACUUGUUGACAUAUCUCUGGUUUUGUUUAUGCAGAUUAUGAUGAGUAUGAAAGAUCAAUGUUGAUCUCUCAAACAAGCUUUGAGAAAACUUUUGGCUUAUCUUCAGUCUUCAUUGAAUCUACACUAAUGGAGAAUGGAGGAGUGGCUGAAUCUGCCAACCCUUCCACACUAAUCAAGGAAGCAAUUCAUGUCAUCAGCUGUGGCUAUGAGGAGAAGACUGCAUGGGGGAAAGAGGUUGGAACUUUUAUUCUUAACUAUCAUAUUGCCAAAAUUGAUAUCUUUAUUGACCUUUCUUCCCUGCAUAGAGGCCUUGAACUACAUUAAAACUUUCUAUAUUUUUGCUCAGAUUGGAUGGAUAUAUGGUUCAGUCACUGAGGAUAUCUUAACCGGCUUCAAAAUGCACUGCCGAGGAUGGAGAUCGAUUUACUGCAUGCCCUUAAGGCCAGCAUUCAAAGGAUCUGCACCCAUCAAUCUGUCUGAUCGGUUGCACCAGGUUCUUCGAUGGGCUCUUGGAUCUGUUGAAAUUUUCCUAAGCAGGCAUUGCCCUCUAUGGUAUGGCUUUGGAGGUGGUCGUCUUAAAUGGCUUCAAAGACUAGCAUAUAUAAACACCAUUGUCUAUCCUUUCACAUCCCUUCCACUCAUUGCCUAUUGUUCACUACCAGCAAUCUGUCUUCUCACAGGAAAAUUUAUCAUACCAACGGUAAUGAAUGCUAGUAAUACAUGUCUUCUUUUUUGAGUUUUCAAUACCAUAUAUAUGCUUCCACUGCUUCACAUUUUCUAAUUUGAUGAUCAGCUCUCAAACCUGGCAAGUGUUCUCUUUCUUGGCCUUUUCCUUUCCAUUAUCGUGACCGCUGUUCUCGAGCUCCGAUGGAGUGGUGUCAGCAUCGAGGACUUAUGGCGUAACGAGCAGUUUUGGGUCAUCGGUGGCGUUUCAGCGCAUCUCUUUGCCGUCUUCCAAGGUUUCCUUAAGAUGCUUGCAGGCAUUGACACCAACUUUACUGUCACUGCCAAAGCAGCUGAUGAUGCAGAUUUUGGUGAGCUCUACAUUGUGAAAUGGACUACACUUUUAAUCCCUCCAACAACACUCCUCAUCGUCAACAUGGUUGGUGUCGUUGCCGGAUUCUCUGAUGCCCUCAACAAAGGGUACGAAGCUUGGGGACCACUCUUUGGCAAAGUGUUCUUUUCCUUCUGGGUCAUCCUCCAUCUUUAUCCAUUCCUCAAAGGUCUUAUGGGACGGCAAAACAGGACACCAACCAUUGUUGUCCUUUGGUCAGUGUUGUUGGCUUCUGUCUUUUCUCUUGUUUGGGUUCGGAUCAACCCGUUUGUCAGCACCGCCGAUAGCACCACCGUGUCACAGAGCUGCAUUUCCAUUGAUUGUUGAUAUAUUUUGUGUUUCUUAGAAUUGAAAUCAUUGCAAGUUGACUGAAACAUGUCUAUUGACUAAGUUUUGAACGGUUUGUACCCAUUUUAUUCUUAGCAGUGUGUAAUUCUCCUAAACAAUGCUAUGAACUAUACAUAUUUCAUUGAAAUUUACAUUAAAUGAAACUACAUCAGUCUACAGAUUUUACCUGUUCUAAUGUUUAUGAUAUAUAAUAUUGUACCUAAAUACAUUUGAUGCUGAUUAUGUAUGAAAUAAUGACACGUCAUCAAAAAAAGCCUUCUGUAAUGAUAACACUUCGAUUAAGAAUGGAUUGCAAGUUACAUCAAAUUCUAGUGUAAAUUAUAAAGAAAAGAAUCCCUUGUGCAAUGAUAACACCCAAAUCUCUAAACUAAGCAAAACUAAUAUGGUUACAUGUAUACUUUAUCAUUACAAUGAAACCCUAUUCUUUGUACAAGAAAAUUCAUUCUAACUCUUGUAUUUUUUUCUAAUAUUUGUAAAAUAAAAUUUAUUUAUAGAAAAUUUCAAGUAAGUGUAAAAAAGGGUUUUAAGUCCUUACAAGUUAACCAAGGGUGGAACCUUCUUUUUAUUUUUUCUUUUCUUGUAAUUUAGACAAGGAUAGACCCAAGGGAAAUUACCACUUUUGUAGGGUAGUGGAGAUGAAAAUGGCAGAAAAUAGCUGGAAGCUGGACUCCACGAAAAUACAGCUUAUAAGAAAAGUAUAUUAUAUAUACCUUUUAACCGACAUCUGCAUUUAAUUUUGUUUUUUAAAAAUACUUUCUGAAAUACCUUGCAUAAAAAGUUUAAAGAUUCUAACUUUGACCCAUGCAUUGUAUUUGUUUUGUACACCCAUAAAUAACAUAAAGGGUUAAUUCUGGUUUUAGUACAUCUAUUAUACUACAAACAUAAUUUGGUCCUUAUUUCCAUAAUGACUUUGGUAGGUAUAAGUUGAUAACAUCAUUAGCUUAUGCUAUUAAAAUGAUGAAGUUACUUUUUUUUGUUAUUAUUCGAUCGUAUAGUUAAAAUUACGUGUCAAUUAAAUGCUUAAUAUUUUUUUUAAAAAUAUUUUAUCACUUAAUAGUAACAAUUAAUAAUGUUAUUAGUUGGAUCUAUUAAUGACACUAUAAAAGUCUCAUGAUUUAGCUACUGAAUUAUACAUAUUUUCUCACAUUUAUACUUAAAAUUUUUUAUUUCAAUUUGAUAUCCAACUAUAACUUUUGUUGUCAAUAAGAAUGUGACACAAAGCACUUUUUUAUUGGAUGCCAAUAAAUAUUUUUGGGUAAAAUGAAAAGAAAAUGAUAGUUUAGCGGCUAAAUUGUGACUUAAACCUAAAAGUAAAAUAAUUAAAUUAUGUAAAAUUAAAAUUUAAGGAUUAAAUAUUUAUUUUUAGUAUAAUAUAAGGACUAAAACCAUAAUUAAGCCUAACAUAAAAAUCUUGUAUUGGAUGUUAAUAAACAUAAUCCAAUCCCUCCCCACUUAUUUGUUGUGUUGUGUUGUGUUCUGUCUUUUCCUCUAUCACUUCACUUCCCAAGUUCCAACGUCACUAAAGCUUACUGCUUGCUCUCUAGUCUCUACCAUGAAGCCACCACCACCAUCCCUCAACUCACUACCACUCUUCCUCUUCCUCCUCCUCUCCGCCGUCAUCUCCGCCGCUACCACCACCACAAAUGCCACCUCUAAACUUCCCCCUGCUCCUUCCCCCACCACUGAAACUCCCUCUUCUUCUUCCUCCUCCUCUUCUACUCUAGACCCUAAACAAAUUGAAGCACUUGAAUCCCUCAACAUUCCCACCGCAAGAGACCCUUGCAUCCAACCUUCCCCUCACAACGCCACCGUUUGUGACAGCUCUAAGCCCUUUCGCCACCUCGUUUCCCUCCACCUUUCCAACUGCUCCUCUGACCUUUCCCUCUCUUUCACAGCUCUCAAGUCCCUCUCUUCCGUCCAUUCUCUUUCCUUCACGAACUGCCACACAUCCUCUAUUCGCUUCCCUUAUGAUCUUUCCCUUUCCCUCACUUCCUUCACCUGCAUUCGCUCCCUCCGCCGCCUCACCGGAGUCUGGCUCUCACGUUUCGUUAACUUAACCGAUCUCACAGUUUCCUUCACUCCGGUUAACACUAGCGGCCUUUAUGUAAUCCUUGGGAACAUGCAUAAGCUGAAAACAAUAACCAUUUCUCAUGCUAAUCUCACCGGUUCUCUUCCACGGCACUUGCAUCUGAACCUGACCCAUGUUGAUUUAUCUGAUAACAAGCUCAAAGGAAACAUACCAACUUCCCUUACACUUCUUGAAGAUCUUGAAUACUUGAAUCUUUCAUCAAAUGGGUUAAAUGGGGAGAUUCCCACUGAGUUUGGUGACUUGAUAUCGUUAAGAAACCUAUCUUUAGCUUCCAAUUCAUUUUCUGGUUCAAUCCCAGAGUCGAUUUCUGCUAUUCCAGGCUUGGUUCAUGUUGAUCUGAGUAAUAACCAGUUAAAUGGCACUGUCCCAAGGUUUUUCUCACAGUUGAAAGGCUUGAAAGUCUUGAACCUCGAGAACAAUGAACUUCAUGGGGUUUUACCAUUCAAUGCUAGUUUCAUAAAGAAAUUGGCUGUUUUCAAGGUUGGUGGGAAUAGCAAUUUGUGUUACAACCAUUCUGUUUUGUCAUCAAAAAUGAAGCUUGGGAUUGCUCGUUGUGAUAAGCAUGGAUUGCCUAUGUCACCUCCUCCUUCUAAGGAGUCUUCUGGUGAUAGUGACUUGUCAGAUUAUGAAGAUGAUAGUGCAGACGAUACAAGUGAAAACAAGGAGCAUCAUCACGGGCCAAAUAAGGUUGUUCUUGGUGUUGCAAUUGGACUUUCUUCCAUAGUUUUCCUUAUUGUUUUCUUAGUUCUUCUCUCAAAAUGGUGUGGUUGAACAAAACAGUAGUUUCGAUCAUUGGUUAGAUUUUUCAUAGUUUGCCAUUUAUUUAUUACUGAUAUUUGAUACACUUGAUUUGUGAUAAACGAGGGGGGAAAGUAGCUAUAGGAGGCAGAGGAAUCAUUGAACUGGUAUGGUAUUCUUUUUUGCUGAUAUUUUUGGCCAUUAGCAGUGGUUUCCAUUUUUUUACGAGGUUGUGGUCAAUGAAAGGUGUAUAAGGAGUUGCUAAUGAAAUGUGUCAAUGUUAGUCUUUUAAAAUAUGUAUUCUUCAACUUCAAGCAUUUGCUUUUUGACACCAUUUUUAUGAUUUUAUCAUUUCUGAUAAUUCACUCUGCUUUACUUUAAUCGAUUUGUUAUCCAACUGUGUUGUCUAACAUUAAUCUAAAAGGUUUCUAAAUAUUAAUAUCAAUGCCAAGAGAAAAGUUGAAAUGUGAGCUUUCCCCUGUAAGAACGACCAAAGUAUCGUCUUCUGCGGCUACUGUUCUAGAUCUUGUCUCUCAUUUAAAGCUGUUACAGUUCUUGAAAUAUCAAUUAACCACAUAUUACUGUUGAUCUUUUGCGAAUUCAGGCUCAAAACUGUAUGUUGUGGCAUAUACCUGUUGGACGAUCUUCUUUGUUACUAUAAACUUGGAGAUAAUGAUUAAAAGCCAAGUUGUUGGUGUUGGUGGAUGAAUUUGUGGAUGUUAAUUUAUUGUGAUAAAAAUGAUGAAACAUUAUGACAGAUCCAACUGUUAUGGUUCCUGCAAUAGUUUUGAUGGUUGGAUCCCAGUUGCUGUUCAGCUGUGUGUCCUGGAUACUAGUUUCGUGGUUCUUACUUACUCAAAAAAGGACCACACCACGUGGAUGUAUGGCCCCAAAGCCGUCAUCAUGGCCAGGUUGCUGUGACCUUACUUUACUAGUAAGCUUAACAUCGUACUGGCUAAUUAUUUACGAUGCUUAAAUCUUCGUUGACAUAGAAUUCGGGAUUAAAAAAAAAAGUUGUUAAUCUACAGCCUAGUGUUAAGGAUAGAGUAGUUACUCAAGUUGUUAGCCUUUAGCUAAGGCUGUUAGCAAGUUUGUUAUAAGCAGUUACUCCUUAGCUUUCUACAAAUAUGAUAAGCUCAGUGUACAAAGAUGAGUUUUGGAAGCAAAUACAGAAUUAAGUUUUCUUCUAAUUAGCCUAGUCAUUAUUCGCAAGUCAAUAUAGUUCUGUGUUAGUUCGGUGUUUUACCUGAGUUUCUUCACCUAGUCACCAGAAGCCUCUGCAAGAACAAUAUCCAUCCUUAAAAUGGUGAAACCGAUUCGAAUCUCUCAGCACAAUUUCUCUUCUGGUUUCCUUGGACAUGAACUUGGCCAUUUCAUGACAAUCACCGCAUACUCGGAGAUUCUUGGUAACCCGUAUUGUUUUUCGAGGUGGUAAGGUUAAUAACCCAAAAGCCAUGGCUAAUUUCUCACUGUGACCACAAAGAGCCAUUUCUUUUUGCAUCUCAUCUGCAUUAAUCAAAGCAUACUUAGUUUUAGGAAAAUGGCCUUCUUCCUUCAUCUUCCUUCUCAUCUUCUUUAGCAAAGAUUCAAUGUUCUUGGAAUGUGGGUGUGAGCUAUUAUUUCCACUCACAAAGAGAUUAACUUUUCCCUUUAUCUCUAUCCAACUGCAACCUGGGUUCUUUCUUAGGCCUUGCUUCCCUAUCUUCUCUCUCAGUCUUUUCACUUCCUCCCAUUUUUCUGCUUCUGCAUAGAUAUUUGCUAACAGUACAUAGUAGCCUGAGUUUUCCGGCUCUAGCUCGAAGACACGUUCUGCAACUUUCUCGGCUAAUUCAAUAUCAUGGUAAUUCCUGCAACCGCAAAGCAAAGCUCCCCAGAUUGUGGCAUCUGGUGCAAUAGGCAAUGUUUCGAUGAAUUCGUAUGCCUUUGAAAGGUUACCAGUUCGAGAAAGAAGAUCUACCAUGCAGGCAUAGUGUUCCAAUUUCGGUUCGAUGUUGAAAUCAUUUUUCAUUAUGUAGAAGAAUCUCCAACCUUGCUCGAGUAGUCCGGAAUGGCUGCAGGCAUACAGUAUAGAUAUGAAGGAGACUUCAUCUGGCUCGAUUCCCGCAUCUCUCAUCUUGUUGAAGGUAGCGAUAGCUUCAUUUCCAUACCCAUGCAUACCAUAACCAGCGAUCAUGACCGUCCAUGAGACUAAAUCUUUUGAAGGAAUCAUAUCAAAAAGUAAACGUGCAAGACCUAGAACUCCACACUUGACAUAUAGGUCGACAAGUGCAUUGGCCACAUGUCGAUCCGAAGAAUACCCGUUUCUCAAUAUGUAACCAUGGAUCUCUUUGCCUCUUUCUAGAGCAGAUAGGCUGGCACAUGCAGGAAGAACACAUGCCAUAGUUCUACUGUCAGGUUUCAGUUCUUCGAGCAUUGCAGCAAACGUUUUAAGUGCUUCAUUGGGAAGACAAUUCUUCGAGUAACCUCCGAUCAUGGUAUUCCAAGAAAUAAUGUCCUUCACAACCAUCGUCGAAAAAACAGAGUUUGCAGCUUCCAUGCUUCCACAUUUAGCAUACAUAUCCAUCAAUGCAUUACACACAAACAAAUUGGAUUCCAUGUUAUUUGCCUUGAUGUAAUCAUGUACAUCCUUGCCAUUAUCCAAUGAACCACUUCUAGCACAAGCAUGUAGAAUGCUUGUAAUAGCAACCACAUCUAGUUUAACACCUUCCUUCUCCAUUUGUUGAAGCAAUUUGAUGGCUCCAUCAGACCGGCCAUCUCGGGUGUAACCUGCUAUCAUGGAAGUCCAUGACACGACAUUUCUUUCACCCAUCUUCUCAAAAACCCUCAAGGCACCAUCAAGAUCACCACAUUUUGAAUACAUGUCCAGUAAAGUAUUACUAAAGUUGAUUCUCCUCUCAAAACUAGAUUUUAUUGCCAAAGAAUGAACAGCCUUCCCUAGUGAAAGAGUACCAGAAUUUGCACAACCGACAAGAACACUAAUAAUAGUAGCCAAAUCCACAUCAAUACCCAAAUACAUCAUCUGUUUAUAGAUCCCCAGCCCUCUCUCUGUAAGACCAUUUGAUACAUAGCCACUUAUCAUAGAGUUCCAUGAUAUAACAUCUCGGUCACACAAUUUAUCAAACAGUUCAAAGGCACUUUCAGGUCUUUUGCCCUUGAAGUAAAAUGCGAUGAGGGAGUUCACCACACUGUUACAGCUACCAAAACCCAAUUUUAACAAAUACCCAUGAACACAUUCGCCUUCUUUUAAACUACCCAGAGCAGCAAAACACUUCAAAACACAAGAAAAGGUGUAAGAGUUCACUUCAAUUCCCUUUUCCACCAUUAUCUUGAAUAAACAAAUGCUCUCCUUAAAAUCGCCAAUUUUUGCAUACUCACUGACCAUGAAAUUCCACAAAUAAACGUUCUUUUUCUCCAUCGUAUCAAAAACUCUCCUCCCUUCUUUUAAAUCUCCACAAGUUGCAUAAAAUGAUACAAGCUUCAAGCUCAAGGCUUCAUCGACUCCAACACUAUUAGACUUAAUGAUUGAAUGAACUUUUUUUCCAUCCGUAAAUGAUUUUAAACCAGCACAAAGCUGUAAAACCGAGCUGUACGUUUUAGUUUCAAGUUCAGAUUUUUGACACAUGCAAAUCAAUUCCAUGGCAUUCUCAAGAUCACCCAAUUGGCAGAAAUGAAGGAUUUUUGCAUUAUAAUCUGUAACUUGAUGAUCAAUGGUUCUUGUGGGUGUAGCUGAGAUUCGGAUAGGGAUGCAAGAGCUGAAAAUUGGAGAGAAAAUUUUAGUCUUUAAAGAAGGUUUAUGGAUAAAGCAACCAUUUUGAGAUGAGAAAAAGUUUUCUUUACGGUUUUGGUUUAGAGUUAGAGGAGAGAAACAUAAGUUAGGUGCCGCUUUAGCCAUGGAAAGCCAGGGAAUCUCUCUUUCCAAAAUGCGAAAGCUUUAUGAGAGCUAACGGUCUAUAAGGGUCUGCCUUUUUCAACCAUUAUAUGAAUUUCCGAUAUAAUAUUAUUAAAAGAAAUAAUCAGAAAAUAUCUUAGUUUAAAAAGAUCUGAGUUUAACAGCGCACUGCAAAUUCAGUUCAAAUUGAUUGAUAAUAUUCAAUUAAAUCAGUUAUGAUGAUUAAUUUGAUUGUGUAAUGGUUAAAAUGAUUAAAUCCAUCACAAACCUUAGUUUCAUUUCCUGAUAAAUAAAUAGUUUCAACCAGUUUGUAAAUUGGUUUGUACCAAUUUACGAGUCAAGAAAUCGGCCAAUAACCGGUCAGUCCGAUUCUGGUUUAAGAUUGAUUGAUUGAUUAAAUUUGUAUUUCGAUUUUUUAACGAAUUGAAACUUGCAGGGUUGAAAGAACAAGCAAAUGCCAGAAGAAACAAGGGUUACUAAAAAUUGAAGAAUAAAUAUAAAACCAACAGGAAAGUCUCAAGCAUAAAUCUAUUCAGGAAAAAGAGAGAAACUGAUACACAAACUAGUCAAAAUCAAGUAGCCAAAACUGAAAACAACUCAAACUGAGCUCGUUACUGCUAUUUCUUAAGCUCCAAUAUUUUGGGACUUGUUAAGGAUGACACCUUCAUAUUUGACCUGGAACCACUUCAUGGCAUCUUCCUUAGUAACUCUGUGCUGAAUACCAACACGUGACUUGCAUCGGCGACGACGGCCAACGCGAUAACCAGCUCGUUCCAGAACAACGUAGAAGUCCAUGCCGUAGAUACCAGUUGAAGGAUCGUACCUAGAGAAGACAACAAGUGUUGGUAAUUUAUGCCAUCAAGGAGUUCCUUCCAUAUCAACUGUCACUACUAAUAAAAUUGAGCCUUCCCCAUAACCAGUGUUAACCACUAGAUGAUAGCAUCAGGAAAUGUUAACUUUUAAAGGGGUACCUAGUUUCAAGCCACACACUAACUUUAACCGGAAAGGCAAACCUUUGAACGACUAAGCCUGGUUAAAAGUUGCAUUGCUAUCUCCUGGUAAUUCUAUGUUGCUCGGCCUCUUCAUUUUAUUUGAAGUACAUGCGUCCGAUACAUGGAUGCGAGGACAAAACCAACAAUCAGCUAAAUACAUUGAAAACCUAGAAUGGUAUAAUUGGCAAAGCAGCACCAUUCUUAAAUCCUAAUAGCAAUCCCGACCCUAAAGUUAAAUGAAAGCAUUGCAGGAUACAAACAAGUGCAUUGCCAUUUCAAUGAAAAUCGAAGACUUGAACCUAUCAAAUAUUGCUAAUUCUCAUCAAAUUUAAAUUGAAAAACAAGUAUCCGGAAUGCAUUAUCAACAUAUAUCAAUUAAAACAAAAGAGACAUACAGAAAAAGACUUACUUGAUGCCAAGAUCAAUGUGUUCCUGGAUACCGAAUCCGAAGCAGCCGGUAUCACUGAAGUUCCUCCUCAAAAGUUCGUACUCCUUAACCUUCAACCCACUCUCAAGAAGCUGCAUAGCUUUCUCUCCCCUCACAGUCACGUAGCAAGCAAUCUUCUCAUUACGCCGAAUUCCGAAAGAUCUCACAGUGUACCUAGCUGCUCACAUCAACCCCACAUUUUUAUUUCCAUAAACAACACAAUCCAACAAAAGGACAGAAUUGGUAUCAUAAUUUUUUUUUACCUUUGGAGAAGACGGGGGUUUGACCACUGAGUUGUUCCAAGACCUAAAACGAGUAUACAGGGAUAAGCUAAUAUUUAAGUGCAAGAUUUGGGGGAGAACAUGAAUGGGUUUUUGUCUGUGUGAAUAACGGCGGUUACCUUGGCGGCACGGGUGAGACGAUCGCCACUUUCACCGACGGAGAUGUUGAGGACAAGUUUUUGAACUUUAAUCUCCCUCAUUGGGUUCGACAGCUUCUUCUCCGAUGCCUUUCGUAGUUAUACAAAGUAAAAACAACCAUUAAAAAAAUGUUAAUGAUACAUGUAUUAACAAAACGGAAAAGGUCGAGAUAAAGAGAAAGCUACCAUGAUAUGGGAAAUGGAGGCUGAGAGCAGCGUUGUACUGACAAGUGACAAAGAGGCAGCUGGGUCUAAUUCCUCACUCUAGGGUUUUCAGGCUGCAUGUAUGAGUGUUAAAAGUCGCUUCCUUGUUCAUGUAUGAGUGCCAAAGUCUCCUUGAGUUUUGGGCUUUUGGUCUAUGGGUUUUUGGGCUAAAAGAACAAGAGAGAAGAAGAUGAAUGAAAAAAACAAAUUGGAUCUUUCUCAUGAUAAAGGUCCAUUUCCUUCGAAAAUCUAGGGUAACCCAAAACUGCUUUUUUUUCUCUUACUACAUCACGGUCAUUAAAUUAUUAAUAAAUUUAUGUCUUGAUUAUUUAACUUUAAAAAAAUUAUAAAAAAAUUAUUGAAUUAUUCAAAAAUUUUCAUUUAGUCUAGCUAGUGAGUUUCAAUAAACAUCGACGAGUAAAAAAGCAUACAUUAUAUUCAAGUUGAUCUAAUGAUUAAUAAGGAAUAUCAAAAAAUAAAGUUGUUUGAAUUUUAAUUCAUAAAUUAAUAAUAUUCAAAAUAUUUCAUGAAAAAAGAACAAAACUGUAGAAAAGAAAGAAGGCCAUGAUAGUGAUUUUAACAACCUUACAUGAAAAUUUUCGAAUAAUUUUAUGACCGUUUUAUAACUUUUUAAAAUCGAGUGAUUAAAAUAUAAAUUUAUUAAUUCUUUAAUCACUUCAAAUGCUUUUAAAAGAAUUCGGAGUUCUGUAGUUGCAUUCUAACUCCGUUUCAACUCCGACUAAAUUUAAUCCCAUUGUUAUUUUUACCAUCCACAAAAGUCAAACUCAGAAUCAUACUUGAAAUAUAUCAAAGUUCUUAUCACUCACUCGACAAAUUUGUUAUUGAAAAACCAUUCAUCAUAAACAUCAACUCUAUGUCGAUCAAAUUUGUGUUACAAUCAUGUAUAUAUAAUGGGAAUUCCCCUAAUGAAUUCGACAUAAAUGCAUGCCAAAUCUAGAUCUUUAAUAAAUAAGAAGAAAAAAAACUUCUCACUGUAAUACAGCCUAAGCCAUCCUUUGCCUAAGCUUUGACUUUAAGCUGAAAGGCACAAAUACCAAACAAGUUAAUAUUGCAAGCAGCAAAUACAAUUUUGUCACAGUAAAAGAAUUGGGGCAUGGAUGGCUACUUCUGAAAUUUGAAAACUCAAUCUUUAUGGUUUGUCUAUAUGGGUAUUGAAAACCGGAAACAACCCGUAAUGUAGCUUCACUGACAAGUUAUUUCAUAUCCAUUCAAAUUCAACAGGAGAAGCAGACCCGACAGGAAGGCAAGAAAAGGUGGUGCAGAGGACGAUCGUUAUGUCUGGUUCACACCUUUGCUAAAACAUAUUCACACGGAAGAACCACGGCAGUACAAAGGCCAUUACCAGGCAUGCCAUGAGGAAGUUACAGAAAGGCUGUCCACGCCAACAUCCUGAACGUUGAUCUGAGAAGCUACCACCGCCACUUGUAGAUCCUUGGCCAUGCCAAUCUUCGAUAAAUCUGUUAUCUCUAACGCCACUGAUAUUUUUUGCGGUUUGACCACAAAUUUCGCACAUUCUGCGGAAAAAAAAAUUAAACAUAAGAAGGUAUAUAUAGGAGAUUUGCCAACAUGUUCUGCUUCCAAGUACUUCCUGAGAUAUCGAAUGUUGGUUUGAGAUACAAGCUAUUCACGAUACAUAAAAACAGUUGCUAUUUGAUAAUAAUUCAAUGAACUCUUAGACCUAAAUGUAUGAUGACAAUUCAAUUCGCUCAAAGGGUUGAAAAAACAAGAAGAUAGGUAAACACAAAGGGUCUAUAGCUUCAUAUUCGAUAUUGAUCAAAGUUAACAUUUCUCACUUAUGUAUGUUCUUAGAGUCCAAUUAGAUAUUUCAUUGCAAAAAAACAAUGGCAAUGGAGAAAAAAGUCAUGUUUCAAUGACCAUUGAAAUAUUUCACAUCAUUAACUCUUCUGUUCCACUUAUCGUAUAUACUAUAUAGUUUUGUGCCUCCUUACAAAAGGUGGAUGGUAAUUUUGAUAUCCAUAAAUGAAAAUGUUUCAAUGAGACCUAAAAAACUUAUAGUUGGUCCUAAAGCUAAUCCCAAACACAACUAGAGCAAAGAACAAUUAAAAUUCCAGAGUUAAGAAGCCAAACCCUAUAUCAACAAUACCUAACACAUAAUGACAUGGUAGUAACAGCAAAGCAUUAACAACAAGGCAAUGCGUAUUUUCCCCGAAGAGACCUAGUUUAGAUCCUAAAACUUCACUACUAGAGAAAGAACAUUACCUGUUUCCUUUCAGCUUAAACCAUGCCUCUGCGCAAUGACUAUGUGCGAUUCCUAGCUCAUCUUUGCACUCACAACCGAGUUGAAUUAGAUCCACAGCAGCUGCAGUAGCCGAUGUACUAUCGGUAGAUUCAAGGGAUUGCUCAGAAUUCAAAUGACAAAUUCUACAAACUGUUUCCUCAUCCCAACUCUCCUUAAACUGUCUUCGGCCACCACCGCUUCCCUUUACAUCAAUCACACAUGCGUCCUCUGCUUCAGCAGCUUUUGUCUUUGGCCCUUCGACUGAUACUUUACUUGAACCGAGUCCAUAGUCUUUCACUUCAAACUCUCCACUAAUUCCUUCCAGAGAUGCUGCCUCUUGGGUGUUAAUCACAGUAAUGGUCUGAAUUACAGAUCCACUAACUGAAUUAGGGAAACUCUCACUACUUCCUUGAUCAACUUGACCUAGUUUUUCGGCAACUCCUCUAAUUUCAUUCAUCUCCUCGUAAAUCGAUUCAUUUCUUUCUUCAACCAACCCCUCACUUGAUGAUACCACUACAUUUGCAUCAAUUAAACUAUUUGAAUUCCCGUUAGUUCCCAGAUCAUUCUGACCAAUUCCUCUCCCAAAAUCCAUCUCCUGAUUCUUACACGAUUCAAAGCCAUCAUUUUGCAAUCUCAAAUCCGAAUUUUCUCCAUUAGAACACAAUUUUUCUUCAGAAUUUUCCACAAUGGCGGUUCCAGACACAACCCCAUUAACCGAAUUCUUUGAAUUUCCACCGACACAUUCCCCAACUUGACUCAAGUUCAUACUAGUCCCUAUGCAAUCACCCCUUUUCUCUUGAUCCAUUAAUCUUAGCUAACUAGACCUCUUCCUCCUCUAAAAUAAUAAAAAAACCAAGGCAAUAAGCAUACAUAUGAGCAAUCAGAUAAUGGAAAAGAGCUAAUGUUUUCUCCAUUUUAAAACCAAUCCCAGACCAUGUACACUGUGAUCAAACCAUUUUUCCUGCUCAUUACACCCCACCACAAGAAUCCAAAAAAGCUAUAAUCACAAAAGAAUCAACAUAAUCAUAGAAAGAGCUUAUGAACUCCCUCAAAAGUAAUAAAAAUCGAAUCUUUGUUUAACUUCCAAAACAACCCAGAAUCAGAUCCUUACCUACUUUUGUAUCACUUCAACUCCAAGCAAAUAAACAAACAAACAAAAAUCGUACCUCCACCCCAAAAAUAAGAAGGGUUUUGUGAACAUUGAAAUGUCAAAACCCAAUAAUUCAAAUGGAGAAAAGAUCAUAAUAAAAUGCGUUCAAUUGUUAUAAGAGAAUCAAACACUUUCACCAUUAAAAUACAAAUAAAUUGAGAGAAUCUAUACAAAUAUAUCUAGGCUUAAAGAGGGUGAAAGAGGUUAGGUGAUGAAAGGAACUUGAAAACAAAUGGUAUAAGAAUGAAAAUGGGUUGAGUGAAGAUUACCUAAAUAUUGACUAGAAUCAGCAGAAAAAUAGGGAUUAUAAUAAUAGAAUUAUUACAUUAAUUAAAUGGAGGAAAAAAAGGAAUCUUUUUUUGGAAGGAUUUCAUUUUCGGAUUCACGGCGUUUCAUAAGUAAUGCUUAUCUUGAUGGGUUAGGCAAAUUUUAUAAUUUUUUUUGGUUCAAAAGGGUUUAGGCAAAAUUUUGGGUUCUUGAAAAAGUUUUCUUUAUUAGAAAAACACUAUGAUUUUCUCCUCUCAAUGUGAUCAUUGACUUCAUUUAUGAAUUUCAACUUUUUAAGGAAUUGUGUUGAAUGGACGAAGGUUUUUUUUUCUUUAUUUUGUGUUAGAAAUAGAAAAUGGAUAUGAUUAUAAAAUAAGAUAAAUGACGUGGAAGAUUCAAGAAAGCGCAUUGGCAAAAUUGGUAACUUCAUAUACUCAAUCUUUUAAUAUUAUAUUUCCAAAAAUUCCACUUCCAAAAAUAAUAAUAAAGUUAAUUUGGAAAAAGUGAUAGUUAGGGUGGGUUUGAGUGGACUGUCCAUUUAUUUACGAUUAGUGUAAAAAUAACGGUGACUGUGAGAUUAGAUACUAUAGUAAUAUUAUAGUAUAAGAUAAAAAAUAAAUUAAACGCAUUGUACCCAGCAGCUCAUCCAAACCCCACAUUAGAAUGAUUGUUUAAGAUAAUUUUUGUUUGAUAAUAGUUACAUUCGAAACAAAUAUGUUUAGAAUAAGGUUUUAGUUUAAAACAAUUAUUAUUUGAGAAUUAUUAAUGUUUGGAAUAACCUUGUUUAGAUUAAUUGUGUUUUAAGAACAACUAUGUUCAAAGCAAUUUUUGUUCAGAGCUUCUAUCUAAAAAAAUGGUGCUUUUUAAGAACAAUGACAAUUCUUGUUUGUAACAACAUUUACUAAGAACUAUUAUGUUGAUAACAGACUAAUGUUUGUAAUAAGUCAAAAUAACCUUUAUUCAAGAAUAAUUCUUCACCAAAUUAGAAAAAAAAAAUAAACUUGGAGUAUGUCAAUUGAGUUUUUGGGAUGUCUUUCACUUUUAAAAUGUUUCAAAGAACUUGCCUUAGUGAAUUAUGGAGAUAAUUAAAAGGUUCCAUCUUAACAUUUUCAUUAACAUUAAGGGUGUGUUUGGUUUGGUGGGAAAAUAGAGGGAUGGAAAAAGACGGUGAAAAAGUGGAAGAAAAUUGAUAUACCCCCACUCACAUGUGACAUGUGGCAGGACGAUAAGUCACCUGAGAAACGUCUCCUAUAUGCCAUAAACCAAGUGGUUAUUAGAAGUACCACCCUUUGGUCAAGCCACUUACUCCUCGAAAGGAUACUAUCACCAAAGUUCCCCAAGCACUUGGUCUUUUGUGAAGAACAUGAUCCUUUUAGUCAUCAAACCUCAUAUGAGAUUAACCACUCCGUACCAUGAAUCAAAAGAAAUGGUAAUUUAUAUCCUAUCACAGACAUUCCACCCACGUGUCCUAGAAUGAUAGUCUAAUGACGAAUUCACCAUGUUAAUGCCACCAAACAAGGGACCCUCGCCUAUAAAUAGUCCUCAAGACAAUGAAGAAAUGAUCGACUCUUCAACAUUCUAGCCUACACUCUGCCACUUUACUCUCAACCUUCAUCUCCACCAUUUUCAUUCUCUUUACUCUUCAACUCUCCGCCCAUAUAGGGUGAAUUGAUCUCUGUCUACACCAACACUUCCUAUUGAAAAUAAAUUUUAAUGUGCUUCGUUGAGAAAAAAAAAAGUAAAAGGAAAGAAAAUAGAAGAGGUGAUUAUUUUCAUUCUAAUUAAUGCAUAACAACCAAUCAUUUCAAAUUGAAAUAAUAAAAGAAGAGAAAAUAAAAGUGUAUGUUAGUUCAAAUUAUGCAUUUUUGUUCUAUUUUUUUUUCUUUUCACUUUUCAACUUUAUCAAACAAUGAAAGCAAAGAAAAAAUAUUUUCUUUCUAUUUUUCCAUCUUUCUUAAAUUCUAUCAAGCACACCUAGAAAAAGAAAAAAAAAUUUCUUUCUAUUUUUCCACUCUUCAAUUUUUCACUUUUCCAAAUUUUUUCCACCCUACUAAGGAAAAUUUGGCAUUUGAACUCUUCACAAAAUUCUUUUAGCUGCAUUUACUUUUUCUUCAUCUUACCAACCACCACUUGUUUUUGCUUUACUCCAAUCUUUUUCUUAUCUUUCUCUUGAUAUAUUUGAUUCACUUGUUUGUAAAUAUUUCAUCUCUCCAUAAAAUAAACCUCUGCAGUAAUUUAAAAAAUACAUAGAAAGAGGUGAAUCAUCAGCAGCAAAAGUCUUCAGCAUAUCAAAACCAACAUAGAGUGGUGUCAACCUCCAAAUGGAACAUUGGGUUCCCCAACAGAUCAUGCAUAACCCAUCAAAGUGUUGUCAUAACCAGACCAAGCCAGUUGGUUAAAUCAGAAACUUGUAGUUUGACUAGUUUGAGUGAUGGUAUAUGAUUGGAAAUAGAGCGAACUGUAAUGAGUCGAUAAAAAAUCAAAGACGAGAGAAAGAACCGAUUAUUCAACAGAUUAAACUAGUAAUGAAAUUUUUAAUAAUUUUAUGAUUGUUUUAUUUAAUCAUUUUGACCCAAUAAACCACUAGACUAGUUCUUACGACAUUGACUAUCGAACUAUGACACCCUGAAACAUAAGAAAAAAAACUCUCAUCUAGUGAAGCAGCAAAAUGCUUCAGCCAAAUCCCCCAGUGGAGAGACAACAGCUAACAUCAUGUCUAAAGAAAUUAUUAAUCUGAGAACAAAUUCUUCAAGCAAGAGGUCGAGAAAAAAGCUACAGAGAUAGAUAUCAAUGGAAAACAAGGAGAGAAGAAGGGACAAGGGAGGAGAUGGAAUGAGAGGAAAAAGGAGUUUGGUGAGAGGGAAGAAAGUAGAAAUAGUAUAGGUGGAAGAGAGAAAUGGGUGGAAAACUGUUACGGAGGAUGCAACGAUCGACUAUCACUCAUCCACCAAGGAGAUCAGUUAAGGGGGCUAAGGAAUAGAAAAAAAAAAUAUAUAUAUAUAUAUAUAUAUUUUUAAUACAAUAUUGAAAGUAGAUGUGUUUGAACUCGUGUCAAACAUAUUUAUCAAAACAAUAUGUAGAUACUAUGAAUGGAUGAAAAAUAGGGGUAAAUUAUAAUCACUAUACUAUUAGUGAAUUUAUGUUUUGGUUACUUAAUUUUAAAAAAUUAUAAAAUAGUCAUUGAAUUAUUUAAGAGUUUUUAUUUAAAUCAUUGAACUGUUAAAAUUAUUAUUAUAUGGCUUUCAUUGUUCGUAUUACCUGCACAAAUCGAAAAUUCUCCUCCCAUUUUUCUUUUACAGUUCAAUUCUUUUUUUAUGAAACAACUUUGAACGUCACGAAUUUGUGAACCAAAUUCAAACAUUUUUUUCUCCAAUUUCCAAUAUUGACCGUCAGAUCGACUUGAAUCGAAGGCAUGUUCUUCUAUUUGUUAAUGGAUACUAAUCCACUAUACCGGUCGUUGAAUUGUUGUUUAGAGCUCACUAGUCAGACUUUUUAAAAAAUCUUAACAGCCAAAUGACUUAAAUAAAUAAAAAAAAACUUUUAAAUAGUUCGAUUACUUAGAUGAAAGCUUUCGAAUAAUUCAAUGAUAAUUUUAUAAAUUUUUAAAAUUAAGUGAAUAAAACAUAAAUUUACUAAUAAUUUAAUAACAUUGAAGGUAGGUUACGCAAAAUUCUGUUUUACCAAUCUGUUCAUAAUACUCGGACAUAAAUAGUGCUUGACACGACUUAUUCAUCUUUUUUUGCCAAUCCACGGUCAAUUAUAAUUGAGUUUUAGCUCAAUUGACAUGAGUAUUGUUGCCAAUACAAAAGGACGUAGGUUUGAAUAUGCUGAAGUGCAUUAUCCUCUUAUUUAUGAGUUAGGAGGAGUUAUAGAUAAUUUUAGACAUUGUGUAAAAAAUGAUACAUAAUCUAAUAUAAUGGAAACAUUUAACAAUGUUAUUAAUUGAACUGCAAUUAUUAAAUUAAAAGUGUAAAUAGAUUAAAUUUUUGAAAAUAAAAAUAGAGAUUAAAUUUUAAAUAUGUGAAGAGUAUAGGGACUGAAAGUGAAAUUAAACCAUGCAAUUAAAAGCAUAAAUCAUAUUGCAAAUUGCAAACCGUAUGCGAUAUUACGGAAAACCCAACAACUAUAAAUAAAUUUUUGAAAACACAUUUUUAUCAUUUAUUAAUCUAUAAUUUCUUUCAUUUUUAAGGGAUUAAAAAUAUUUUUUUUUCAUUUUUAAGGGAUUAAAAAUAUUUUUUUUUCAUUUUUAAAAAUUAAAAUAUGAUUUUACUAUAUAUUAAUUUAUAAUUGCGUUAAAUUAUAAAUUUGUCAUCAUAUGAUAGGUGAAUAUUAAAAUUUGUCACUGUACUUUGUUUUUAUUGAUAUUUGUCAUUAUAUUUUAAAAAAUAUGAGUAAAUUUACCAUUCAACUCUUAUGUGAUUGACUUUUAUUAAGUUUUGCUACCAAUUUUAGUUUUUAAUUGAAUUUUACCGAUCAAUAUUAAUUUUGAUUAUUUGAAAACCUAUUUUAAUGAAAAAAAUCUUUCAAAUAUUUAUUUUAAUAGUUAACAAUAAUUUAAAAAUAAUUUAAUUUAUAAAUAUUAAAAAUUAAUAAAAUUAAAUUAAAAAUUUUAUUUAAUGAAAUAAAAUAUUUAAAAAUAAAAAUACAUAUACCAUAAAAGAAAAAAAAAUUAAGUUUAUUUUUAUAAAAUAAUCGUAUUGAUUUAAUUUUAAUAGUAUAUUAAUUAAUUAAUUAUUUUUAAAUAUUAAAGUCAAAUAUAAAAAUGACUUUUUAUUAAAUUUUGUCUUCAAAUUAUUUUAAAUUAAAAUUGAAUAGUAAAAUUUGAUUAAAAAAUUUAUUUUUAGUGACAAAAUUCAAUCAAAUAAAUGUAAAGUAACAAAAUAGUGGUAAAUUUAUUUUUACUUUAUAAAGACAAUUGACAAACAUCAAUGAAAGCAAAAUAUAGUCUCAAUUUUCACUUAUGACAAAUUCGCAUACUAAUCCUUUAUAAUUUUAUUAUUUUGGAAAGAACUAAACAUGCAUUUUUUUUUUCAUUUUGGGAUCGAAGCACAUGCCUACCCUUAAAUUUGUUUUUGUUACUAUAUCAACAUUUGUGUCAAGAAGUUUAAUUCCAGUUUUGAGAGAAAAGUUCGAUCUGACUUCAUUUUGAGUUAAAUUGAACCUAAUAUAACUAUGAAAUAUCAAACAUCGUAGACUAAAAAAGUUAUUUAUAAGAUAAAUAAAAAGAAAAAUUACAUCUAAAAUCACUAAACUAUUAUUAACUUUAUGUUUUGAUCACUACAAAACGGUUACUAAAUUAUUCGAAAGGUUUCAUUAAAAUCGCUAAGCUAUUAAAACCGCUAUUAUAUAGCCUUCUCUGUUCACAUCAAUCAAAAGCUUUCAUUCCCCUUCUUUUUUACAAUUUUAUUUUUUUCAUGAAAUAAUUUUGAACAUCACAAAUUUGCAGACAAAAAUCAAAAUUACUUUCUUCUCCGAUUUCCAACAUUAACGUCAGAUUGACUUGGACCUAAAGUAUAUUCUUUUACUCGUCGAUGGAUACAAAUCCACUGUACCAAUCUCGAAUCGUUGUUUGGAGCUCAUUAGCUGAACUAUAAAAAGAACUUAACAAUCUAGUAACUUAAAUGAAAACUUUCGAAUAGUUCAGUAAAAAAUUCUGAAUAAUUCAAUGACCAUUUUGUUACUUUUUGAAGUUAAGUGACUAAAACAUAAAUUACUAAUAGUUUAAUGACUUUAGGUGUAAUUUACCCAAAAAUAUUUAUAAGACAAAUAAAAAGGAUGGGUCUACAUUGAAACUAAAUUCAAUGAAGCAAUAAUAUAUGUUUGACUUGAUCGGCAAUCCUUCUCUGAAGACAAACUUGGCGAACCACAAUCAAACAUGUCGAUAUGGAAAUUUGUCGUUUACCAUGUUCUUCUUCCCUUAAAUUUGUCCAAAUUCUAAUCAUUUCAUUUUCGUUACCAAAGUUUGAAUUUUAAUUCUGAAAGUCCAGCAAUCACCAGCCGGCUAUUUCGGCAGAUUCCAAAGACCAUCAUUUAACUUUUUCUUUUCUUCUUUUGAGUGUCAUACACUCCUAUUUGUAAAUUUUAAAAUUCUAAAAAUCCAUUUAAUAAUUGAACUAGUUUAUUUUGAUUUAUCAGUGUAAUCAAUUCGAUUAAAUAAAUUAUUUAAAAAAUUUAAAAAAUUUAGAUUAAAUAUUGUAUACUGAUUCUCGAAUCAAUUAAUUUAAUGACUUUCUUCUUACCGGUUUCACGAUUGAUUCAUGAUCCAGUUCAAACUAAAUUGCAAACGGUCUUCUUCAUAUUAGAAUUAGAAUUGUUCUUUGUUUUUGUUAUACCUACACCUCGAAAGUCCAUCAUUAACAUCUGGUGAGCUCGUGUGACACUACGACCUCGUGGAGGUCCAUGCGGGCUAAGACCGAUAAAGAAGGGAAAAUCCUGCUGACCAGUAUCUAGAGGCACCUCGCAGGCGCACAGAAAGACGAGCACACGUCAAGGAAUCACACCCCUAACAAAGACAACCCACACCUACGUAGGAAGAAAAUCAAUAGGUCGACUAAACCCAAAUAAUCCAAAACUAAAAGUGUAAAGCCUCGGCAAGGGACCAACAACACCCUAAGGCUCCCAAGAUCAAGGAAUCAGCAGAACAUCCAUGAUACCUUUCACUCCUAACUCCAAACCUUCUCUCAGCUCCCAGCUCCCAUAAACUCUCUUACUGCUCUCUGCCCACUGGGUGAACUGUCCUUAGCCACCCUUCUCUCCACCGUGUAUCAACAGCAUCUGAAUAUUGGAUUUGCUUUAUUUAUUUUUCACAAGUUUUGGUUGUUAAUAAUCACCUCAAAAUUGGGGAAAAUAUUUUCAUAGACUACAAAAGCUAAAGCAUUCCUUGUAAUUACAUUUGAAAAGCUAUAAAAACAUAAAAAUGGUUAACACGGUUACUCUCAACAUCCUGAGUCAAUUUUGGGACAUUUUCACUAACUUAUAGGAGAGUUCCUUAAUCUAACUCUCACUGGUUCAUGACUUCCAUUCGAUUCCCAGGUGCAAAAAUCAUAUACAAAUUGAUGGGGAAGGGCAAAUUUUAUGCUUUCUAUUUACCGAGGUCCGGAAAGUUCCAUUGCUUCAAUGAUGAAGGAUGACUCUUCAUGAACGUCACUGUAAUUCCUAGAGAAGCUAUAUGCGCUGGUCUCGCAAUGGUUUGUUCCACCUUGUGGUUCAUCUGUUCCUGACUGCACAAGACCUUCAAGGACCUUCAAAACUUCAGACAUCUUGGGGCGAAGGUGUGGUUGUGGUCGAGUACACUGCAGCGCCAACUCUGUUACUGUUUCCAACUCGAUUGUGUCGAAGCAUCCCUGUAAAUCCCUGUCCACUAGCACUUCAAGUCUCCUCUCCUCGUGCAAUGUCCUAACCUGUAUCACCCAUGAAGUAUCUUCAGAUUAAAUAUAUAUUAAUAGCACAGAACAAAAAGUACGACAAAUUUUUAGUUUAUGCUGGAUGUUGUCAUAACAAAGCAAACAUCCAUUAUGUUGAGUUAUCUGGAUUUUGUAGGCAUGCAUAACUUUCUCUAGGUAAACCGUGUGCACUCGGAAUGACAAAGAUCCAAGUUAGUAGACAGUCAUCGAUCAUUUCUUACCCAGUCAAGAAUCAUUCCCUUUUGAACCUGUCCAUUACCAGCAUCUAAUGUCUUUUGUCCAGUGAUGAGUUCCAACAGUAGUAUCCCAAAUCCAAAGACAUCUGUUUUCUCAGAAGACUGUCCAGUUGAAAGAUACUCCGGGGCUAUGUGUCCUACAGUCCCUCGCACAGCAGUAGUAACAUGGGAAUCCCGUUUAUCUAAGAGCUUAGCAAGACCAAAAUCCCCUACCACAGCUUCAAAGCUUUCGUCAAGCAAAAUGUUUGCAGCUUUUACAUCCCGGUGAAUUAUUCUGGGAUUACAUUGCUCGUGUAAAUAUAGAAGUCCACGAGCAGCUCCAAGGGCAAUAUGCAUUCGUCUACUCCAAUUCAAAGCAGGCUUUCCAUGACAAGCAUCUGGUAAACAUAAUCACAUUAUAAGGAAAUGGUGAGGCCACGAGGGGCAAAAUAUAAAAAGCUGCGAGGGAAUCAUAAAAUAGACGAAUAGUUAUGACUGUGCAUUUAAGCCACAAAAAGAAAACAAACCUCUUAAACGAUCGGCAACACUACCAUUUGGCAUAUAAGGAUACACAAGCAAUCUCUCAUCAGGUGUCAUACAGAAGCCAUACAAACGUAAGAGGUUACGGUGAAGAGCUAAACCAAUCAUCUCUACUUCAGUUUGAAAUUGCACUUCUCCUGUGAAAUUAGGAUCUUUAAGCCUUUUAACCGCAACCACUGACCUAUUUGGAAGACACCCUUUAUAGACAACUCCAUAUCCUCCUUGUCCUAGAAUGUUUUUGGGGUUAAAAUUGCCGGUGGCAAUUUGCAGUUCACGAUAGGAGAACCUCUUUAGAUGACCGAUUUCAAAAUCAUAAUCUUGCUGCACUGCAAUUCAAAGUAACACAAAAUUCUCAAAUUCCAACAAUUACACAAAUUCAGUGUUUGAAAAAUGUAUCUUGUGAAUAUGGGAGUACCGUAUGAGGGAAGCAUAACCCGAGAUCUGUACCAAUGCACCCAACAAGCAAGCAGCAUCACGGAAACCACAAAUGCGAAACCAAUUCCUAUGGCAACAGAAAGCAGCCAAUGAUGGUUUCCACUGACUCGAGAAGACGAAACUGAGCCUGCCACUAAACAAUUGGGCAUGUUAGAUUGUCAUGAUUAAAGAGCAUACAGCAAAAGCACUUUGAUAGAUUUCAACAACAUACCAUUUAAUGGAUACGAAACAUCUGUGCAUAUAUGUUCAGAAGAAGCACAAAGAAAGUUGUUUCCCGUAAUACUACACAACAAAAAAGGAACAUUGAGCAUGAAGUGAAUGAAAGCUAUUUAUCAGCAAGAUUGUUCUGAACAGGAAAACGAAUAUUUAAAGCUUAGGCUUAUUGAUGUGAAAUGAAAUCUCUUUUCUGCAAGGAAGCUCACCUAUAACCUUUUGCUAGUAUUUUCGGAGUAGGACCACUGAGAUUAUUAUAUGAUAAGUCCCUGCACAAUAUCAUUUAAGUUAAUUGAAAUCAUCAUCGUGUAGCAGUCUGGAUUAGAAUUAAGGUAACAUGACAGGAAUGUACAAGAAUGAAAGACCGGUGAGAUUUGCAACGUGUCUAGGAAUAGGUCCAGAUAAAUUGUUCUUGCUAAGCCUCCUGAAAAAUCCAGAGCAAAGAUUUUAGGAGGCAAACAUUAAGAAAACUUGCGCGUGGACAUAACAACAAAUGUUAUAGAAAUGCAUUGAAGAAAUGUCAGGGCCGCACUCACAGAUAACUUAGAUGAGUUAGAGAGCCCAAAGUACUUGGAAUUGCUCCGACAAAGUGGUUACCAGAAAGAUCCAGAGUUUGAAGCUCCGAGAGUUUCCCUAUCUCAUCCGGGAUGGGACCUGAUAACUGAUUGUUUUGCAACAACCUACAAAAACAAUGACAAAGAAGGUUUAUUCGAUAAAAUAACCUCAGAAUUUAAGAAAAUAAGACUAAAACUAAGUUCUGAGAACCAACACUAGCAUUUCUUCCAACAAGAACAUGUACCCAAGUGCACUGUAAUGCACAUUCUUUCACAAGCAAAUCAACUUCUAAAAGAAUACCCCAUAAAAGUAAUGUCUUGGGCAAUCCUAAUCACUACUAAAACAUAAAUUUCACAUUGGUUCCAAUACUGUAAGAAUUAGCAGUUGGAUUACAAGAAAAGACAUAAGACGGUGGACUCACAUUGUCCUUAGGUGACUCAAAUUCCCAAUGCUGGGUGAAAGCAUACCUGAUAACCCUGUGCUGGCCAUUUCUCUAUCAACAACAAUUUUACAAAAUCAAGCUCUCAUUUUUACUUUUUUUUAAAUCAAAUUAUUCACAAUCGCUAAAGAAAUAGAAAAGGAGCAUAGUUCCUCACAGUGAGAUAACGAAACCUUCAGCAGAACAAGCCACCAUGUUCCAUGUACAAGGAUCAACCGAGUUGAUAUCCCAGCCAUCCAUAACCUGCUUAUCAUCUCUCAGCUCUCUCUUCACCGACAUCAAAGCAGCCACUGUUAUUACAAUACCACCCAAAAUCAAAAGAAGAAAAAAAUUACUAAAAAAAAAAGAAAUUAAGAACCCAAAAUGGACCUUCAUAGUUAACUCCUUUGGGAGAAAGGAGACUAUCACCAUCUGAAACUGAAUGGACCGAACAAAACCAAUGUAAAAAGAACCAAAACACCCACAUAAUGUGCUGCUCCAUUGAAUGCUAAACAAAAGCAAUGACAAAAAGGAGAAGCUAAAGUGACAAAGGAAAGCUGGAAAGCUUUUGAUUCUUUUUUUCACUUAGGCUUUUGACUUUAGGGAAUGAAAGUAAGGCCAAAAUCUACUGACAGAAAACAAAAAAUGCAAUCUGAAUUCAGCUAAAGUUUGGAUUUUUUUUUAUUGAAUUUUAUAUUUGGUUGCAGCUCUGCUUGGACUCUUGGCUGAAAAGAUUAAUAUUUUCGAGUAUAAAAAUAGUGAGGAAAGGCUAUGUUUUUUUUUUUUUGGGUGUUUUUGCAAGUGGCGAGGCCAGGAGAAUGGUCCUUUGAACAUGGGGCAAGUCCUCGAGAUGUGUGAAAUGACAGAGAUGGUCGCUUUUCAUGAUUUAAAGGUAGUAUUUUUUUGGUAUUGUAACGAUUUACGAUGUUUGGAUUUUGUCUGAAUUUGAGUUAAUUUUGGGCCGUUGAGAUCGUAUGUUUUGAUGAUUGAUCGGAAACGAACGGUUCAUAAGUGAUUGGUCGUAUGUUACAAUUUUCACAGCGGAGUUUAAGUUAUUUUCAUUUAAGUUGAUUCCUACACUUAAUAAUUGUUUUUAUAUUUGAGUUUAGUUUUUUUCUUUAAAGCGAGUCAUUGAUCUUAAUAAUUAUUUUCGUAUUAGUGUUUGAAUAUUUUUUAUUUAAAUUAAUUUUUAAUAUUUUAUUAAAAAUUUUAAAAUUUGUGUCUCGAUUGGAAUAAUUAUUAAAUUUAUGUUCAAAUAUGAUAAUAAUUGUUAAGUUUAAAUAUUAACUUAAGAAAAAAAAAUCAAAUUCUAAUAUAAAAAUAUGUACAAAGUUUAAGAGUUAAUUUAACCAAAACAAAAGUCAAACCCUCUAUAUGAAAAUUAUUACCUAAUUUAAACUCGAAAUAUUGAUUUAAUUUUUUUAAAUUUUUUCACAAUAGAAAUACAACAGUUUUCUCCUCUAAACGGUGCGGUUUCAGAAAAACAAUGAAAACAAAGGCAAGAUAUUUCGUCUGAUCUGUUAUGAAAUGAAUGGAUCAAAAUUUAAUGAGGUUAAAUCAUUAAACGAAAUUUUAAAAAUUUGAAUGUUUAAUAGGUUAUAUUCAGGGGGAGAUUUGAAAAAUUGAUGUGAAAGAGAGAAAAUGGAGAACAAAGAAUGUUGAAAGAACAGAAAGGGGAACAUUGAAACAGGGAACCAGCUCAGCUAAUUGUCUUUUUGACGACCAAAAAAAAAAACCCUAAUUAUUAAGCAUGGGUAGGACCUUAGGGCUAAGGAUAAGACUUAAAGGGCAUCUACUUUUUGACAAAAAAAAAAAAAAACCAAACCCACUACAAUUGUGCAUGCACCUUAAAUAGGUAAAUGUUUGAAUUAUAUUUAAGUAAAUUGAUUUUUCCAAGAUCAAAUUUUAUUGUUAAAAAUUAAUUUACAUACGUUUUAACGAGAUACAUAUAGCAAGUUAUAUAUAAUUGUCUAAUUGUUCUCUUUACAAUAAAAAUUUUAACGAAAAUAAUUAUCAAUUUAGCAAAAUUUUUAAAUAAAACAAAUAAAAUAUCCAGUAACUUCUAUAAUGGUUUUACCAUCCAAAAUAUCAUUGCAAUCUGGACAUUAACUUUCCAUCCCGGACAAAGCACCAAAUUGCACAGGCACUAGACAUUAACUUUCAUUUUGACAUAUGUUUGUUCCUACCUUUUGCCCAUAUAUAUAUAUUACCCUUGGCAGAGUUACAGCAAUGGCCAAUGUUCAUCCAUCAGAGGAUGAACUUUAGCUUUGCAAUGUGGCUUUGCUGAGGCUGUUGAAAUAGAAUUGAGUCCGGGAGCUUGACUUCUUGGAGCCAAUAAACAAAAAACCAGUAGUGGCAUUACUUGGUACAAACAGUAACAAUCAUGAUCUGCUAGAUAAAAUAUAUAUUCUCUAUUUUUAUCAAAUAUUUGUGUUGAAUUUGUAUUAAACUCAUGUUUCCAUGUAACCCUGGCCCUGUUAUUGGUCAGACUGAAGACAGGACCUAAGAACUGCUUGUUAUUUUGUGAAAGUUAGGAUAUUUGUUCUUAACAGUAAUGAUUAAUCUUUUUAUCGUAAAAAUUUUACGAAAAUAAUACAUACUUAAGCGUAUUUAGAUAUACAUCCACUAAAUGAAUUGACACUUUUUACCUAUAUAUCUUUUAUAUCUGCAUUAAAUCCUCAAGGCCCAGACUGGGGUCAAUGCUUGUAAAAUUUCAGCAUCAUGAUGGACAUUGGUCCCUAGCCAAAUGACAAUCGUAUGUUUUGGCUGAAUGCAAAUACAAUGGAUAACCUUCUCACUAGGUAUUUGCUUUUGACUUUUCAGUCCUUGUUUCUAUACUUGUCGUGGUCUACUUGUGAGUGAGUUGCAAAGCAGGGCAUUGGAGUUGAUACUUCACGACAUCCUCCAAUGUCUAAAUUAGUAAAUGCCUUAAAGGGAUGGAAAAUGAAAAGUAAUUUAAGGUCAGACCUUGGUAAAUUUUGUGUCUUCAGUAUUUAUAAGCUCAUUGAGCUUACAAGGCCCAGAGGUCGUUUGAGUCUUUGAGCCUUAUCUCAAUUUAUCUGGGUCAAAUAGCCUUUUAGCCUUAGUUGUUUACUGAACUGACUUGCUCUUUGUUGGGUCGAAUACCCUUUUACUCUUAUUCAUGUAAUAUUAUAUAUAGUCGAAUUGGUUUGAGUUAAAUUAAUUUAUCGAGUGAAUUGUUUAAUUCAAUACUUUUAAUAAUUAAUUUUGAUAGUUUCGUGUUGAAUUAUAACAUCGUAAUUUUAAAAAAAGAGGUGCACUAUUUUAAAUGUUACGUUUUAAUUAUUUAUGUUAUCGUUUUGUUACGAAAUAAUCACUCUAUGUUAAACUCUGUUACCUCUUUAACGACAGUCUUACAUGACAAUUCAAAUAGAUUUUAAAUGCUAACUUGAAAUUUCGUUAAAGUGUGAUGACUGUAGUACUCUGAUUUUAUGUUGCGUCAUCACUUGAAAUUUUUUAAAUUUAUAAUUUAUACUUUUUUGUAUUUUUUUAAAUUUUAUACAUAUAUUUUAAAAUUUUAAAUAAUAACUUAACAGUUUUAGAGAGUGUCACAUCACAUUUUAAAGGAAUCCAAGUUGAAUGAUCAAAUUGUGACGUGACCCUCUCUAAAAAUAUUAAGUUCCAUAACUAAUGUAAAAAAAUUUCAGGGAUCAAUUUUAAAAAGUUACCAAAUUUAAAGACUAAAUAUUAAUUUUUCCUAUAAUUAAAUAAAUAAUACAUGUGACUGUCAUAUAACAGAACGUUUAUUGAAUAAAUUAACCCUGAUUAAUCUUUUUUUUUAUUUAACACAUUGCAACAAAUAAAUUCUCAAUCUUUUUAUCGAAAAAAAAUACCAUAUUUAAUUGAUUAUUAAGAAUGAAUAUAAUACUCAGAAGUCUUUGAUAGAGGCAUAAAGCCAAUGUUUUUUUUUUUUUCUUUCCAUUCUCUCUUUUCCUUUUUGACUCAAUUUUUUAAUUUUCCGUUCAUCUUCAAAUAUAUGAAAAACAAUGGAAGCUAAAAAAAGAAAAACCCAGACUUGUCUUAAUUUAUGUUUGGUGGGAAGUAGCUAUUAACGGAUUAUAUGAUUCUUAUAUUACAAGUUUAAUGUUUUUAAAAGAAAAUGGAGUUGAGUUGAGGCUCUGAGCCAACUCGACUUUAGCUGAGUUGCCUUGCUUUCCACUCUUUUCAUACGUUUUCAACUCACUGUCACCUACACCUACACCUACAACUUAACGUCUCUUUGAAUUUUUCCCAUCUUCUUUGACGUUCUUAUUUUAUCAACUAUACACCAUCUAUCCCAUUUUUUUUUUUAAAUGUUAGUUCAUCUUCACCAACAAUUGAAACUUAAUCAACUAAUGACAUAUGUUCAUAUUUGUUGGCAUGUCUUUGUUAAGACAAUGGAAAAGAUAGUAACAGAUGUUGUAAGAGUUCCAUGUUAUUGUUAUCUAAACAUUAACCAAUGCCAAAGUUCAGGUUUUGGGGAUUUUCAUAACCAUGUCGAAGAAUAACAACAACAACAACAAUAAGUCAGUUUUGAGGUUGAAAGAUUAUCGUGUUAGAAGCUCAGAUUCCUUGUCCAAAGUAGUAUUGCUUCAUAGUUUGAAAGAUGAUUCAGGCAAGUUCAAUCCUUGUAAGGGUGGGAAUAGACACACAUGGUUCCGCCGGAAUGUGAAAUCAGUUGCGUUUAUGUUCGUGUUAACGGCUUUCAUGUUCUUGCUCGAUUCUGUGAUGGUGUCGGUUUUCGGUUCGAUCAACUUUCAUGGAAGUUCGAGUACGAGAAACUCCGAUGGCUGCGAGGUACGGUUAUUGUUUCGAUGAAUUAUUGAAUAUGAACAUAUGCAUUGUUUAAAAAUGAUGGAACUGACACCAACUAGUUGUUGAUAUGCCUUUACGUUACAUGUAUAUGCUAAGGAGGACAGUGUUGCCCAUAAGGAAAGGCCAAUAGUUGAGAUGUAUGGUAGGCUUCUAAAUUUAGCUUCAAGUGCACUUGCUGAGGUAGGCUUCUUAGAUUUCUAUGAAUUUUAAAGCAAAAAAGUUAAUUUUUUCCUUAAAAAUGUGAAUAGAUUCAUUGAUUUGCAGGAGGAGUUUAAGCAAGAAAGUUUGAAUUUUUGGGAGGAACCAUAUCAAGAAGCAUCCAAAUGGACACCUUGUGCAGAUAAAAGAUAUCCAACAAGCCUAGGUAAGUACCUUGCUUCGGAACCUUAUCCAACAUGUAACAAAAUAGUCUUUUAACUUGUCUUUGGUUGAGACAGGGAAGCCUGGUGAAAGUAAUGGCUAUAUAAUGGUUAGCGUGAAUGGUGGUCUGAAUCAACAACGCGUAGCUGUAAGUAUCCGGUUUAAUUCCCUUUUUUGAUCUUCUAUCCAUUUUUCAUUAGGAAAGUUCGAUGUUGGUUUCGGUUAAAAUGGGGUUUGUCCACAGAUAUGCAAUGCAGUUACCGUGGCAUCGUUACUCAAUGCGACGUUGGUUCUUCCGAAGUUUCUUUACAGCAAUGUAUGGAAGGAUCCUAGGUAACCAUGUAACCUUUGAUUUGAUACUUAUAUUCAUGCAAUGGAUAAUGAAACGAUACACUUGAAAGCGGAUUUUGGGUUCGAAAUGCAGCCAGUUCGGUGACAUCUACCAAGAAGACUAUUUUAUGAGAACGUUGAAGGAUGAUGUACAUAUAGUGCAGGAACUUCCUCUUCAUUUGAAGUCCUUGGAUAUUGAAGCCAUUGGCAGCCUUGUAAGAUUAUCUUCUAAGUUUCUACAUUUGCAUUGAACUUCGGCUUUCGUUUCUCGUGACACUGUAAAACCUCGAAUCUUACCUCAAUACAGAUCACUGAUGCAGAUAUCGUGAAGGAAGCAAAGCCGAUUGAUUAUGUUCGCACUGUACUUCCCCUCCUUAUGAAGAACAAAGUUGUUCACUUCCUUGGAUUUGGUAACCGGCUUGGCUUUGACCCAUUACCUCCUGAACUCCAGGUGUGUAACAUCCCUUGCACGUUUGAGCCUACACAUGUCGAACACGUAUUUGCAUUCAAAACUCACCCCGAACCUGGAUAUGCUUUGCUCCAUUGCAGAGAUUGAGAUGUAAAUGUAACUUCCAUGCACUAAAGUUUGUGUCAAAAAUCCAAGAAGUUGCUUCAUUAUUAAUCAAAAGGAUAAGGAAAUUCGAAUACCAUGCUGCCGAACGUCAGUUAGACAAACAACUGCUAGGAGAUUUCACGCCUAGCAUUUCCUCCAAAGAGGAUUAUGUUGAAAGAGGCUCAUCUAGAUACCUUGCCUUACACUUGAGAUUUGAAGAGGACAUGGUGGCAUACUCCCAAUGUGAUUUCGGAGGUGGAGAACACGAGAAAAAGGAACUCGAAGCCUACAGAGAGGUCCAUUUUCCUCUGCUCAUUGAGCGCUUAAAGAACUCGAAGUACGGCCCUACCAGCCCUUCUGGCAUUGUUAUUUAACCUGAUGUUGUUUCCAUGCACGCACCUGAUUGAUAUGUUCUUUUCUACCAUUGAUGCUUGUAGGCCUGUUUCUCCGUCAGAGUUGCGGAAGUUGGGAAAAUGUCCAUUGACACCCGAAGAAGCAGCGCUUGUUCUUGCAGCUCUUGGCUUCAAGCGUGGAACGUACAUUUAUCUUGCAGGGUCUCGUAUAUACGGAGGAAGUUCAAGGAUGCAUCCCUUUACCAAUUUGUACCCAAAUUUGGUCACCAAGGAAACACUGCUCACAUACAAUGAACUUGCUCCGUUUAGAAAUUUCUCUUCUCGGGUAUUUUGGAUUUGGACAAUCGUUUUACGAACUUUUUCAGGUACAUUUUUGUAACAUGGAAAAAGAAUUUGCUUUGGGUGCAGCUCGCAGCAUUGGACUUCAUCGCUUGUGCAACUUCAGAUGUCUUCGCCAUGACAGACUCUGGAAGCCAAUUAUCAUCACUGGUAUCUGGAUUCCGAACUUACUACGGUGAUGGACAUGCUCCAACCUUGCGGCCUAACAAGAAGAGAUUAGCUGCGAUUUUUUCAGAGAAUAGCUCCAUAGGAUGGACUACUUUUGAAGAUAGAGUAAGAAAGAUGAUUGAGGAAGGCCAAAGAGUGCGGGUGAGGGGUUCUGGUCGAAGUAUUUAUCGACAACCAAGGUGCCCUGAAUGUAUGUGCAGAUCAUAGCCCUGAAACUGUUCUUUUUUAUAUGUUCAUUGUUCAUCAAUGUAAUUUGCUAAUAAAAAUGCACAUAGAAGCCAAAAAGUGCAUUACAUUUGAUUCACAGAGUUCUUGCAAAGUCACUUUUGCACACAUUGUUAGAACAGCAAGCAAGCCUACAUUACACACCAAAAAAUUAAUAACUAGAGCGGAGCACAAACGAAUCGAUAUCAGAUUGAACCCAAGUCAAAUAUACAUAUGACCGAGGCAUCUCGUUGUUGUUGACAAUGAUCUAUGACGGAGGGAAGAAACGAUUGAGAUUGAAAGGGAGUGAAUAAAACUCUUCACUCCGGCUAUCUCCUUUGAACGUGCGGAAAUUAGCCCACCAUGGCAUUCCUCUAUCUCGAGCACUAUCUUUGUAGUCAAGUGUGUUGUCUAGGAGUACGGCAACAAUCAAUGCAACAGUUGGAGAUGAAAAGAAGAUGGUAUUAAGGAAAUCAUUGAACUGCAUGUCAAAAAAAUAGUACAUGUCAAUGCUAUGUUUGAUUAGCAGAAAAGUUGAAUACGAAAAGUUGGCAUGGGGGACAUUUAACUCACCCAUACAGCCCUGGUAUGAGCAGGACCAUGAAGUGCCUUGGCAGUGUAUUCUCUAUAGUACUCGGGAACCGACAAGCCUAAGAACAGUGCAACACCUAUGAUGAAUAGGUUUCUCAUGGAGUUCAUGUUUGUAAAUUGCAUGAAUGACAGCCCCACAGAAGCUGAAAGCAAGUAGAGCUAUGGUUAGAAGCAAAGUAAAAUAUAGCAAUGGGGACAUACAAGAAUGUUACUCACCAACAAUACCAAACAAAACACAAUACACAGCAGCAAAUAUGGUGAACGGUAUUGAUGCGAACAACGCUCCAAAUUUUCCUGCAGAAAGUAAAGAAAUCAGCUCUUAAGGCACAAAUACUAAAAAGACCUGUUUAAUAUAUUGUCACUCACCUAAUAUCGAAAAGAAUAUCAUAAAGCCAGCCGAGAUUUGAAUGACCCUGCGGCUUCCAACACGAGUGCUUCCAAGAAGCCCCACAUUUUCCCUGUUGUUUUACCAGGAAUUAGUAUAGUAUAGUGGCAAAAAAAAGGAUCAUUUUCAGAACAAUAAGCAACAAUACUUACACAGAGACAGUUGAACCAGUCAGUGUUCCAAAUAAUCCAUCCAAAAGGAUUCCGAUGCCUUGCCAACCAAUACCACGGCUAAGAAUAUGAGCUGGAGGUGGUGUGGCACUCGCUAGGCGUGCAGCAGCCUUGUAAGAACCUGUUGACUGCCAAAGCAAACAUUUUUAGCUUUGAAUCACUAAGUAAUAUAUGUCUAUUCAAUUUAUGAGUCAGAAAUGGUUUAGGGACUCAACGUGUGAUACCCGUGUAUCUGUGCUCUUCUCUUCUUUUUUUCUUUAAACAAAAAAAAAAUUAUGAGUUUUCAUAUGAGUACCUCAAUCAAUGAGACUAAAACAGCAGCCAUCAUUCCAAAAGCAUGACCAGCAUCAAAUGUAGGAGCACCCCAUUGAAGAGGAUAAGGAAUCUUUAUCCUGUAUGAAAAAUUUUCGGUUAGAAUUCCAUUGAUUCAAUCAGCAAAUCUAGUGGGGGAACAGCUUUAGUACCAUGGGGCAGAAGAAAUGAGGUUGGCCUUGUCAGUUCUGCAAUUUAAUUGUGUUAACUCGGGACGAUGUUUGUAUGCACCACUCGCUGUCAAGAGAUGUGCAUAUGCCCAAAUUACCGUGAUCGAUAUAAUGAGGGCAAACCGCUCCAGUAUUGGCAGUUGCUUUGUGUGGAAAUUUUUCAAGUACUGUUUUUGACGUAAAAGAUAGAAUCAUACAUAUGAUUUCAUAUAGCAAAUGGAACUUGUAACCGGAAGAAAUAGUAGUACCUGAGAGAAGGCUAUAAAUAGAAUAAGCAUUGGGAUCCCAAUUUCGACGCAGCGACCGACCUGAUAGUGAGUUGAUAACAAGCUAAGACGAAAACUUUUCAUAUAAGAAUUCAAAAUAGCUCAAAAGUUUCUAUAUUAUACCACAGGGAAGCCUUUGUCAAACAAACCAAAGCCGACUAGUGCAAUAACCGGAAUCAUUCCAAGGGGGCUAAAGAACCUAAAAAUGGGGCAAAAACCAUUCUCAACUUGUGUUUCUCUAGGAUUUUGAUAUAGAAACUUCAUUUAAGAUCAAAAUUGAACCUGGUGCAAAUGGCCCACAUCUGACUAUACCCCAAGAUAAUUUGUAUGCUUGAUGCUACUAUUAGUGCACCUUGGACGGCUCUCAUAGUAUAUAGAAAUCUCUGCAUACACAUCAAAAAAGGACAUCAGCUCAUGUCCUAAAGGAAAAAUUAUGCCUUCACACAAAGUUCAUAGAAUUGUACUAACCAUAUGGUUAUCCUCAAUGUUUAGCAAAGUAGUAUCAUGGAUUAUUGAUAUAAUGGGAACCAUGAAGGCAUAAGACCCUCCAAUAACAGUAGGUAAUCGAGUUCCAAAUAGUGUUUGUAAAAGUGUAUUAAUCCCUUCAACAAAUAACAGUGUCUGCACCACUCUAACUUUAUCAUCCUAAAAACCAUCAUUAAAAGAAUUUCAUGUUGAAUACAGUAAUAAAGAAAGGGAAUCAAUGAAGAACAUUGUAAAUUUCACUGCUUACAUCAGUUCCUCCCAUUAAAGGAACAAGAAAAGAAGGGAUCAUCACAGCAGUUCCUAAGGCCAAAAUGUAAUGUUGAAACCCCAAAGCUAUAGCUUCUCCUGCUUCCACCACCAAAACAGAGCGUUACAAAAAAAAAAUACAGUUGAAAAGAUUUGAUCUAAAAUGGGAAAAAAAUGCACACCCCAAGAAGGAUUUGAGUCAAUGCAGUACUCUAGGCCUUGAAGUUGGUCCAUUGGUGGGUGACUUAUUUCUUCAGGUUUUGGUUCUGCCAUAGCUUUAUGAAAAAAUUCGUACUUUUUGCCUCUAAAACUCAAAUGGGGUAUUCACAAAAUGAAUCAAAGAAUCGAAUUUUAAGCUCAAACCAGAGUAAAACAGCUGAAAGUUCGAAACUUGAAGAUUGAAUAUAAACUUAUGCUAUGAAACACAAAAAAAGAAGUAAAAAUAAGUACUUUGCCGCUCAGUACUGAAGGAUUUUUUCACUCUCUCUACUUUAACUUACGGAGCAGAGAGAGUUUGAGUUCUGUUUUUCAGUUUUUUUUUUCUUUUUAAUUUUUACACAGCUUUUGAUUUUAUAUGCAGAAAAAGGUUCCGUUAACUUUAUCUGGUAUUCCGAAAUUACCCCUUAAGCAACCAGCCAAAACGCAAAUGUUACCGUUGGUCUUCUCAUUAUUAAAUUUUUACAGCUCAUUGUUUCUUUUAAUUACUUUUCACAUAUUUAUUAUUCACACAACCAAACCAGUACAAUAUAUAAGGGAAGGUAUUACUCUAACUGUGAUUACACAUUAUCUUUUAUCUCUUCUUAAUAGGAGAAUCACAAAUCAGAUUUUGUUCCUAGUAUUUUUAAUUAGAUUUGAACUUUUUCAGGAGAAAAAAAUUUACUAUGAUUUGUUAUUCUCCUAUUAAAAAAUGAUAAAGAUGACAUGAAAUCACAGUUUCAUACAAUCCCUUUUCUCUAUAUACAUAUAUAGAUAUCUUAUUGAAACUAGAUUUGGUUUUGUUUAUCAAUAAUUAGAGAAUGUUUUUCCCUUCUGCAUUUAUUCUAUGCAAUGAAACUAGCUAAUGAGAAUGGCAAGGGUUCUAGAUUAAAUUUUUAUCAUGUAAAUUACGUGUAUAAAUUUUCUCUUAAAUUUAUUUUAAUUAGAGAAUUUUAUCUCUAUUCUAAAAUUUCAUUAGACUUAAAUUUUAAUUUAAUUAAAACUCAAUAUAAUUAUUGAAAUAUAAAAAAAAUAUUUCAAAUUCCAUCAUAACCGUUGUUUGUUGCUUCACCAUGGCAGUGAUUUGAUCAUAGCUAUUAAAGAUAAGUUCACUUUACCAUUCUUUUUUCUCUUUUUGUCCAACAUUUUUUGCCAUUCUUAAUGCUUUAAACGAACCCUUUUUACCAAGGUUUUUUUUCAGCAUUAUAAGUAGUUUUAGCAAAAGAUUAUUUACAAUGCUAAAAUAUAUUCUACUCUUAAAAACAAAUUUUAAAAAUGAUAUACAUUAAAAGAAAGAUAAAUUAUAUAUCCAAUGUUACUAAACUGUAUUUCAAAAAAGUUACAAAACGAUCAUUAAAUUAUUUAAAUUUUUUUAUUGAAGUUACUAAAUUGUUUAAACCGUUCUUAUAUAGCUUUCUACCUACCAAUUUGCAUUCACUUUUUUAUUUACAAUUCAACUUCUUUUUUCUUAUAAAACUACCCUACAAACCAAAAUCUAAACAAUUUUAUUCUAAUCUCUAAUAUUAACUAUCAAAUUGAAUUAAACCUAAAACAUAUUCUACUUAUCGGUAAGUGCUGAUCUACCAUACCAAUUAUCGCUUGAAACUAACUAAUUGGACCUUUUAAAAAAUAAAAAAAUAUAUUAACCCAAUAACUUAAAAACUUAAAUAAAAACUUUUAAACAAUUUAAUAACAAUUUUGUACUUUUUUUAAGUUAAGUGACCAAAUGGUAAACUAGAUAAUAAUUUAAUGAACUUAGGUGUAAUUCAACCAGAAACAAUUGCUUUAAAUAAAGAUCUGAGUCUCAGACUGAAAUGUAUGCAGGGAACAGUGUACGAAUCUCCAACGUCUCUCAUUUGAUGCCAAAGAAACAAAGACAGGCACCAUUGAGCUUUGAGCCCCUUUCUCUAUCUCCAACCCCCAUGACCAUGACCCCAUCUAAUAUAUAUUUUGUCAUUUUUGCCUCGAAUUUUGGCAGCAAAGUUCAUGCAAAUUUGAAAUCACCCCCACCUGCUUGCCUCAACAAAUAUUAUGAUAGAAAUUGGUAACAUAAACAUCCAAGAGAUAGCCAUGUAUUUUUAAGCUCAAAAGAAUGACAAAUGCUUUCAAGAUGAAGAUGAUAUGACCAUGGCUUGCUUGGCUCUUCCAACUAUUUGCAUCCCUCUCGGUUAAUACAAGGAAUGUGAGAUUUUGACCAAUCUUUCUCGUGCUACGCUUGCUUUACUGCGUUAAAGCUGAAAGACCAAAAGUUAGACCUCGAUGGUACACAGCUAGGGGCAAAGCAUUAUUGCAUCACUUCAGCAUCAAUAUGGGGCUAUAAUUAGGUAAGUGAUCUACAAGGUACAAUACAAACAUUACAAAGGUGCAAAAACGCAAAGGACUGGUUCUCAGCCUCACAAACAGUUUUCUGGAACACCGUCAAGAACUAAAAAUGAUCAAUUUAAGAUCUUCUAUCCAACCUCUUUUCACUGGAUUUUUUCUCUUCUGUUUCUCGCCGUUUCUGCUGUCUGCCAUUUAAGAAUAAAAAUGAAAUCAGUACUGAUUACUAAGCUCUAAGCACUAGCUCUAAGUUGUUUGUUUCAAUAAAUUAAUCAUGCAGCCGCAAAAAAAAAAAAAAAAGAGAUUCUUAUCCAGAUUAAAAUGCAUGAAAUCGAGGGGGAAGAUCUGAACAAUUUUUCAUCAAGUUAUAGGACUUACGCAAAAGCUGUGUACCCGGUUCCAGCAUUAGCAGCUGAUAAUAUAACUGUAUGUGCUCCAGCAGCAGAUAGAGAAUGCUGUGAUCCAGCAGGAAGAGGAUUCCUUCUAUCACUAUCCACCUGGAAGUUACAUGAAACAAUGAGAAACUUAAGGUUCAUGAUAUCACAGAUGAUGUAUUUGUGAUAGAGAUGCUAAGACAAGUUAGUACCUUAUCCCAUUUUGAUUUCUUGUUUUGUCUACCAUCCCGCACAAUGUUGUUAUCCACUGCAGUCGGACCUGAAGGCAAACCACUCCCAGCCGCAACUGAAAAACCACAAUCAAUCAAUAUAAGAAUAACAUCGCUAGAUCUCAAAAUACAUACACUCAUAAGAAGAUUUCAUCAGGAAAAAAAAAAGUAAAGGAAAAACACCUGCAGUAGGCAUGCUAACUUUUGGAGCAGGAAGAACCGCUCCAGGUUGAUUUCCACCGGGUACAAAUUCGACCUUUUGGUUCUUCUUGCUUUCUUGUUCCUUCCUCUCCCUUUCACAUUUCAUAUCAGCCUCUGCAUUUAAGCAAACAAGUUUAAGAACAUUAAAAUGUGUGAAAAUAUAUUGAGAUUAAUAGCAAAAGCUUUGACGAAAACAAAUAAGAGAAAGCAACACUCAACAGUUAAUGCUUAGAUGCAUCCAAUGCCAAUUGAGCAUAGAGUGCGACUAGGUGCACCUACACCUUAGCACUAGACAACAAAAGCGCCUCAAACCCUUUCAGGAGAGACCCAUUUGAUCAAGUACAUGCGUAGUGCACCUAGGCAUGCUUUAUUGUAAGGCGAUAAACAUAAGAAACGACCAUCUGAUUGAAGAUCUCUUUAAUUUCUUUCAUUAGAUAUACAUUUACUAGUAAGAAAGGGAUAGUCUCCAACUUUGUACUUCUCUAUAUUUGAGUAUUCAACUUAGACAUUGAUCAUAAGGAAAUCAUUCAUAUUUACUAAAAAAAUCGCAUGUUCUGUAGAUAAAAAUAAAGUAGAUCACACUUCAGAGUUUAUUAUGCAUACAAAAACUUGCACACAUACAUUUUGUGCUUUACUUCACUCAGGCUAGUGCUUUUUUUUUCCUCCUUGUGCCUGAGAAAAUACAAGGGUUCUAGCGCCUAGAGCGUGACUUUUGCCCUUGACAACACUGAUUCAAUAUAUAAAAGAGAGAAUUAUAGAAGCUAAUGUUAUAACCUAUUUCAUCAUAGAAGUCGCUUUUGUCAUAUCCAUGAGGAUCGAACACAUCUUUACUGAAGCAAGACCCUAUCUGAUCAAUAUCUUGAUACCUCACAGCAUGCAGCAAAAAGUCAGGGUUCCUAUAAUCCUUCCUAUUCCGAACUUCAGCAUUGAAGCUUUUUCCAGCUCUCUUCAAGUUGAGAAAUUUAUCUAUUUUCCUCUGUAGUAACAUACAGAAAGAAAUGAAGGUCAUCAAUAUAAAAAACUGAAGGAAAACGCAAUAUAACUUGGAUCAUUCUAGAUUAUCAACAAGGGAUAAGCUCAUUGGUAUAAAAAUGAAAAAAGAGCAAGACAACCACUGAUACAUAAGGAUUAGGUAUCAUGAACUACCAAUCUUUCAUUCAGCAGCAGAGGGUGGCAAGUCGGCAACAACUGACAUUGUAAUUAAAUAAACCAAAUGAAAUUCAGGAGUGAGUGAGCUAAAAAUUACAAAUCAGGCCUGUGGAAACAGAAAUCGACAUUUACAACUUAUUGAGUGCCAUGGAUCAGCAUGCCUUCAGAUGGCAAAUAAGAAAACCUUAACAACACCUAGCUACCUUCAUCUCUCAUAGAAACACAGAAGUUCCAGCACAACAUAGUCCAUCUCAACUGUUAACAUUUGGGUGGGGUUAUAUAAGGAUAAAUUCAAGCUUUUUACAUUAGGUCCAAAGAAAUAUAAUUAAUAACUAAUAACAUACAAAAGACACUUACUUGUAGCUCCUCCGAGCACUUGACCUUUGGUGGAGGUGGAAGAAACUUAUCCAAGGGAUCAACAUUGUCUACAGAAACGGCUUCCUCAACUUCUACACCAUCUGAUUCAUUAACAGCAUUGGUCAAGCUCUCAGGCUGUAAUGGUUCUAAGUCCGAUGAUUGUGGAGUCAGCUGAACAGCCCCCGGAGGCGUUUUUCCUUGAAAAUCACCUGCAAACAAAUGACAAAUUAGGAAGCUACCGAUUUUAAAAGUAACAUUUGUAGUUAAAUUAAUCGAAUGAAAGGGAAAAAGGGAAAUAAAUAAGUACCAUUGGCAUUCUGUUGAUCUAUGCCAAUCAUGAGGUCAUCACUGUUUCCUAGUUCCCCUUCCUGCACUUAAACAUGGAAAAAAUAAUCUAACCACGUAUCAUUAAACAAUAAAGGAAUUUUAAAAAAAAAAGUCUUUGGCAAGGCGGAGAGGGGAUUACCUCAGGCUCCGGUGACAUGGCAGCUUCAUCGUGGCCAUAAUCAACAAUGGUCAGCCUUCCUCCUCCACUUCUCUUCGACGAAACCAAAGUUUGAGGUUGCUGCGGCGAAGAAACAGAAGGCUCCUGCUGUUGUUGUGAAAGAAUGGUGUUUUGGUGAGGAAAAGGAGGCGUAUUAUCGUUGGUUCUCGAAUCUUCUUCCAUAUUGUUAUUAGAUUCUCUGUAAUCGUUUUCUUCUUCUAGCGGCUGCCCUUCUUGUUGUUGUUCUUCUUCUUCCCCAGUUUGUUGGUUUUGCCGGUGGUCACCUUCUUCGAUGUCUCCCAUUUCUUCGUCAUCUUCAUCGUUGUACAUGGAUAGCAAGGCAAUCCCUUCGGAUUCCUUUUUCCUCGACGCCAUGGAAUCUAGGGUUCCUGAUUCGGCCGGAAAUUCUUAACUGAUUUGAAAAUUAGUUCGAUUAGGGUUUCGGAUUAGGAAAAUUAGGGUUUGGAUUUCAGAACCAGUUGAUAGAGGAAGCAGUAAUUUCGAAAAUUUUCUUGGUGGGGUUGGAGGUGAUUGUUGUCAAGGCUGAUUUUGAUUUUGAUUUUGGUUUUGGUUUUGGUUUUGGUUUUGAUUUUGAUUUUGAUUUUGAUUUUGAUAGCUGAAAGAGCCGGAUCUGAAAGUCGGGUCACGGUUCAAGCCCAAACAAACAUUUUGAUCUUUCAAAUUUACGCCCAACCCAUUUCUUAUUGGACCUAUUGCUCAUUCCCGAUAAUUUAGAGCUCAAAAGGCGGAUUCAUUUACAAUGUAAUUUGGGAGUUGUAAAUUAUUAUCGCAAAAUAAGAGUAUUCAUUUUGAAAUUAUUUAUACCAAUUAUCAAAGUUAUAGUCUUGUUGAUGAGUCGAAGUUGUUCACUUGAACGGUGGAGAGUCGUAUUCAGUAAAAGAGGAGGUAUUAUAGGGAGUUAAAGAGUGUUAAGCUUAGUUUAGGAAUUUCUCUUAAAAGUGCUUUUGGAAAAAAGUUAAAAUUUUUAAUAUUUAAGAAAAAUACUUUUGGGCUAAUUUUUAAUUUGAGAGAAGCAUUUUUUUCUCUCAAAAUGCAGCUUGUUUAAGAAUUUUUUUGUCGCAAAAGUGCUUCUUAAACUAACCAUUAGAAUGGAGGAGUAGGAGAUCUUGAGAAUAACAGUUUUAGUUGAUAUUAUACUCUUCAUAACCUGUUGUAAGGUUUGGAGAGAUAUUUAAGGGUACACUUAUACAACACGGGUCCUCUUGUAAUUUGUGGGUUGUCAUUUGUUGUAAAUAUUUUCAUAAAUUAGUUACGUGAGUUAAUAUGACCAUCGAAAGCAAUCUUAUCAAGAUGGAUGAGCUUGGUGUGGUCUUAGUCUAGGUGAGGUACAAUGCGGAUAAUGUAGUCUCUUUGAAUAGGUAUGAAGGUUUGACAAGGUAUGUGUAACAAGUCUAAUGCAAAAGCAUGACAUAGUUUUACAUAAAGUUUGAGCUCACAAAAGCCUCGAACAUUUAGCAAAACUCAUUGUUGAUCAUAAGACAAGUCACGUGAAAUGAUGAGUUACUUUCUUUUAUAAAAAGAGCUCUAAGCAACUAUGAUUUCAAAGCCAACUAAUUAGUCACUCUACAAACUAACACUAACAUAAUCAGAGGUCAAUUAAUGAAUAAUUGUUAAGUAGCUUUUCAAACAACUUAAAAAUUAAGUAUAAAUAUUUACCGAAGACCCUCUUUUUUUUUUCUCCGUAGUCCAUAUUAUCAACUUUCACUAUGUGCUUAAAAAUCUAAAAGUAUUAUAAAUGCUUUUUUAAUAGGAGUCAGAUUGUAUUUUGCCUCCUCUACUAAAGAAAUGGGCAGAUUAAUUCUUCUACAUUAGAUAAAAAAACAAACAAAUCCUUUCAUUAAAAAUUCCAUCAAUUCUAUUGUUAAAAUCUGGUACCUGUACGUCAAUAUGAGGUACAUGGCACGCUACGUGUUACUAUAUGAUUAUUUCGUUAGCCAUGCUAAUUUCUAACAAUAUAAAUGGAUGAAUUUUUUAACAGAAAAGACAAUUUACUCUUUGAUCUAACUUGCAAAAAUCAAUUUAUUCAAAUUUUAAGUAGAGAAGACAAAAUAAAAUCCAACAAUUCUUAGUCGUUUAAAACAUAUUCCAACCCUCUUUACUCACAUGUAUGACAUUUUAUAAUAAUAUGAAAAUUCUAAACUUACUUGACUUAAUUUUACUAGUAAAAAUUUAUAUAUUUAAAUAUAUUUUCACAUAUUUUCUAAAUGACAAGUUAUUUUAAUAUUUUCUACUUGCGGAUAAGUUUUUAUUGAUUAAAAAAAAAAAGAUGAUAGUGAUUUUAAAAUCUUUGGUAGAUUUGGUUUGAUGAAGUCACGAGUGUUCAACAAUAACCUUAUUUUCUACCAAAUUGUUGCAAAAGAAAAAAAAAAAAGGACAAAUUGACCAAAAAGAUGUGAUAGAAGCCAGACAAUUAAAUUUCGACAUAUAUUAAAUUAAAAUCAAAACAAAAAAGCUCAACAUUAAGUUGAAUUAGGGCUAGUUUUUCAAUACUUUUAAAAAGUACUUCUGAAAAGCGUUAUGAAAAAGUGUUAUGAAAAAGUAUUUUUGAGAAAUAUUUUUGAAAAGUUUAAUUUAAAAUUUGAGUGUUUAGCAUUGCUGUCAAAAAGUGAUUUUGAGAAAUAAAAUAUCCAUUGUAGACAUGUUAUUAUCAAGUAACAAAUAUACAUUUAAAUAAUAUCUAAAUUAAUUAAUAUUAUUAUAUUUUAGUAAGAAUAUAAAAAAAUUAUUAUAACUUCUUGUUAAUAUUUUAAUAUAUAAAAUAUAAAUUUUAAAUAUUUUUAAGCAAUAAAUAUUAAUUAUUUAUAAAAUUUAAUUAGAAUAUAUAAACUAUAUUUUAAAUAUUUAAACAUAACUAUUAAAUAUUUGUAAUUAGUAUUUUAAAAAAUAUUUUUUUAUUUUUAAUUAAUGAUUUUAACACAUUUGUAAUUAAAAACCAAGAAAAAAAAGAGAGAAAGUACUAUGUUAUUGGAUGAUGAAAAAGUAAUUAAGCACUAAAAGUGAUUUUGGGAGAGGAAAAACUAAAAAUUUUAGCUUCUCCUUUUUAGAAGUGCUUUUCAAAAGCACUUCUGAAAAGCUAAAAAUUUCAGCCAAAAGCAGCUUAUUCUGCACAGCUUUUCUUCCAGAAAUGCUUUUGGAGCCAGAAGUGCUUUUGAAAAGCAAUGCAAAACUGGCCCUUAGACUUGUAAAUGAAUCGGGUCAAGCUGUUUGAAAAGUGAAAGAGUUUGAAUAAAAAUAUAGUAUUAAAAAAUGAACUUGAAUAAAAAAAUAAGACUCUUUUAAAAAAUGGACCAAGAAUUGAGUAAGGCUUUUUUUGCUCUUCGAGCUCGGCCUAACCCGAAUUUACAAAAAAAAAACUAUUAUUUUCUUCUUCUUUUUUUACUGUUUUGCUACUAUUUUCUUGUUGUUUUCAUAAUAUUUUGUUAUCAUUUCACUAUUAUGUUACUACUAUUUUAUUGUUAUUGUUUAUAUAUUGUUACUUUUGUUACUAUUUUAGAGAUAUUUGUUUGUUAAGUUGCUCAUAUCUUAGUGUUAUUUAAGUAUAUAUUUUUAAUUUAUUUUCAAUUUAUUGAGAAAUAUUUAUUUUAAUGUUUUUAGUAUUUUUGAUGUAUUAAUUUUUUUAAAAAUUAUAUAAAAAAUUUAAUACAUACAGGUCGGGUUUUGGCAAAACUUUAGGCCCAUUUUUGGGCCUAGCAAGUGGGCCUAAGAUUUUGGUUGGGCCUAACCCGAACCUAACCCGACUCAUGGAUAUCUCUAAUCUCAUUAUAUGUUUUUAUUAUGUCUACUCUUUUUGAUAUAAUAUCUAAAACUUCUUAUAGUCCCUCAUCAACCCUUAAAUAAGAGAAUAAUACGCUUCCAUGUAAUUUAACCCACAUCAUCUUAUGUUAAUCAAGUUAGCACUCAAUCGAAAAAAAAUCAAAUUUAAUACUAAGUUAGCUGCCUUUUUUAUAUUUAUAGUCCCCCAAUGCCAGAUGGGCUAGGUGUACAUUUUUUAUUCAUGUACCUCGUAAUAUGAUUAAGUGCAACCAUAAAAAAUACAGUACCAGCUAUAUUUAUUCAUGUGGUCCACUUAAAAUAUCACUAUUAAUUUAAAGUACAUCAUAUAAUAUUUACUUUUAUUUUGAGUGAUUUUAUUCAACUUAAAUAAAUUAAUGUCUUAAUUAAUUCCACUGUAUACCUAAUGCCAUUUCUCUUAUUUAUUUGUUUCUUCACAAGUUCCUCUCCGACUUUUAAUUAAUUAUAUUUAUUUUGUAUAAGAAAAAGUCAAUGGUAUCUUACUGGUCACGCGUAUUUUUUGAUAGAAAAUAAACAGCAAUUUAUGUGAUUAUAAUCAUUGAUUUCAUUGUAAAAUCAAAGCUUUAUUAGGAUUCUCUAACAAAAUAUUCUUCACUACAUUUGGAGGAGCAACAAAUAAUUAUAAACUAACAAGACGAGUGGCUAUUUUGGCCAAAAAAUCCGCAACUUUAUUUUAAAAUUUCAGCACAUGUCACACGUAUUUAAAUAAUAAUUGAUUAUAGAAAAUAUGAGAUUAAAUAUGGCCAUUAAUAUUUAUAUGUUUUGUUAAAAUGACCCGAUUGUAUUUUUAAGUUUUUUUGGGUCAUCAACCUUUGUUGUUUGUUUUUAUUUCCAAAUUGAUAUUUCUAACAGAUUUUAUGAAAGUACCGUUAAAAAAUUUAAUGUGGAUAAUGUAGAAGAUUUUUAAUGAGAUGUAAUUUAUUACUUAAGUAACUCAAUAAGAUAAUUACAUGUGAAAAAUAAUAAAAUAAAUAAAUCAUAUAUGAAAUAAAAAAAAUCUCUUAAUUUAAAUAAAAUAAACAUAAUUAUCUGAAAAAAGUUUAAAAAUAAAUGCAUAGGCUUGUUUAUUAAAAGGUUUCAUAAAGAUAAUUAAUAAAUCAAACCGAAAAUACUGAAUUCAUGCAUUCAUUUUGAAACUUUUUUUAGAUAAUUAUAUUUAUUUUCUUUAAAUUAAGAAUUAUAUUUUUUAAAUUUCCUGAAUUAUUUACUUAUUUUAUUAUUUUCCACAUGUAAUUAUUUUAUUGGGUUAUCUAAGUAAUAAAUUACCUCUCAUUAAAACUAUUCCACGUAUGAAAUUCCAUAUCAUCUCGUCAACUUUUUUAACGGUACUUUCAUCAAAUCUGUUUGAAAAAACAAUUUGAAAAAGAGAACAAAUGAUGAUGACAAAAAAAAAGGCUUAAGAAUACAAUUAGGGCUAUUUUGACAAAACAUGUAAAUGUUAGUGGCCAAAUUUAUCAUUAAGCCUUAAUUUUAUACACUCAACAAAGCUUUUAAUUGGUAAUGGUGAAGGUCUUAGGAUUGAGAUAAAUCAUGUGCAAUUAGAACGGGUUUAAAGCAUUUGAGACAAGGCCCAUGUAUUAUAGGGAUUGGAUCAAAUUUGUUUAUCUAUUAUUAAAUGAAUCAAUUUAUUUCUUAUACUACAAAAAAUAAUAAAAUGAGCCCAAAGUAAUAGAAUUGACAUUUAAUAUAUAAAAAAUGUAUUGAAAAUUAUUUUUUUCAAUUACAGUUUAAUUUUAAACAAAAAUUUUCAGCUAUAGUACCAUAAAAUUUUUGAAAUUUUUUAACUUUAAUAAACAAUAAAUGAUGUUUUUUAAAUUGUUAACUUUAUUCCAAAUUUUUCAAUUUGACAUUAUUUGAUAUUUUUAAUAAUACGAAGACUAAAUUUCUAGAGGGAUCUCUAGGUAUAUUCACCAAUUAAAAUGUGUUGAUCUCUAAAUCCUUAGUUAAUUAAUUCAUAGCUUGUGCCGUAAUAGUUUGAUUCUUGAUUCUAAUUCAUAAUUUUAACCAGUUUUAUAUAUAAUAGCAUUUAUUAAUGUCUUUAUUUUUCAAGUAUUUAUUCCAUAAUUCCUAAAACUUCAGGCUGAAAAUUAGUAUUAGCCAAAAUGAAUUUUUCUAUUCCAUCAAAAUUUUAAAUUAUUUUUAAUCAUGAAUGGCUAAAAUUUUGACCAAAGGUUGGAUUGAUGGAGUUCUUUUAGUUUUUUAAGGGGUUGAAAUUAAAUUUUAAUUUUUGCAACAGUAAAAAUAUAAUUUCAUCAUUUUAAUAGUCUAUAUAUUUAUAAUUUUUAAAGUAUUAAAUUAAAUUUUUAUCAUCUUUAGGGAAACUAAUGUACAAUUUUACAUUUACUAAUCUAAAAUUUUAAAAAUUUUCAAAGGUCUAAAUGAUAAUUUUUUUCAUUUUAGGGGCCCUGCCAGCCCCUAGCUACACCCUGAUUCAAUUUAAAAUUAUUUGAAUAUUAAAUUUAAUAAAAAAGAUUUUAUUUGAAGUUUAAAAUAAAAUCUGUUGAAUUCAUUAAGAAGGGGGAAAUGGCUUGGCAGUGUGUAGUGCACGUAUCCACGUAAGCAUAAUUAAGGAAAAUGGUGAGCAUUCCUGUUUCAGCAGGUUGGUAAGGAAGAAGAUUAGGUUUGAAAAGAGAUGGGUGUUGGGAAUGCAAUGUGCAACAUAAAGUGAGAUAGACAACAAUCAUAUAACACGCUCUCCCCACUUGCAGCCCUCUUUAACCAUGAAAUCGCUGUGUCUGCUCUGUCGACUCGAAUUGUUGUUGAGCUGUCACCGAUUUAUAUCUCACCGGCCUCUUUCUUUAAUUUUCCCACGUAGAUUCCUCCCAUUCUACUCUCUCUUUCCAUUUCUCUUUUUUUUUUCCUUAUCAGAUCGCAACUAUAAUUUAAAAAAAACCAUAUUAUUAACAUACAUAAUACGUUUCACAUUGAUAAUUUAAAUAAAAUUAUAAAAAAAAUUGUGUUUUAUGUGAAAAAGAAACUUCUAAAGAAAAAAAAAGUUUAUUGGGGAAAUUAGGAUAAAAUAUUAUUAAGGAGAGAAUGAAAAUUCAAGUUUUGAAAAUGAUAUUGUUGAAAGGGACAAUUACAAACUGAACAUGUACAUAAAAUAUAUAUAAAGGACCCAAAAAAGAGCAAAAUAUCAUUAAUUAAUGAAACUGUCCUCUAAAUUAAAAUAAAAAUCCAUGUUUUCUUCAAGAGCCAACGGGCCAAUUUAUGUAUAAUCCCAAUGGUCGGACUUAUGAACAUACCAGGAAAUAAUGGAAUGAAAGCUAGCAUACAAUCUAUGGGUUUCAACAAUGACAAAUCUAAAGAGCGAUUGUUAAGAAAACAAUCGGACUAAAAAAUGAUACGGGGGAAGCCAUGCUCCUUAGCUAGACAAAUUGCUCCCAAAGUAUAGCAAUGGCCACGAUUGAGAGCCUAUCAAAAGAUCCCUCAAGUUGACGCGUGCAACCCAUACGAACAUGGCAUCCUCAUCCCACAUGAUUGCUCCCAUAGUUGCUCAUAUGUUCACUGUGUCGCAUCAACGUAAAGCUUGAGCUGCUCCCCAAUGGGUGCUUCCCAUUUCACCACCUUUGGUCUUCUAGGCAAAAGGGUGCUUGAAUACGAUUAUGAAUUCUGAAGUUUUUCUGGAGUGUCCAAGCUUAGAAAAGAGCAUCUUGUGGAACCAUGACAUUUCCUUGAUAGAGCUCCAUGUUCUGAGCAUUCCAAAGCUGCCAUAGGACCACCGAAAGCAUUGUGAAAGCCUCCUUGUCAAGCUUUUGUAUUGUGAAUUUCAUCCAAUCAAUGGCCCGGCAAAAAGAGGCAGUAAGUAAAUUAUCAUCAAUACCUUGUUAGAGAAGGCAAUCUUGAAUGACAUGCAAAAACAUCCUCUCUCGAAUUAUCGCACCUUCUAUUCUGAGGGUCGUUAUGUAAUGAAAAAGGGACACAUUUAAUCAUUGUAGGGAGAAUCUUGUGACCCAUUCUCCACCCAAACAUUUUGGUCUUAGGUAAGGUUUUCGGUUUCUACAUCUCUUUCCAAAAACAUAAUUUAUGUUAUCGGAGAUAGGGUUAAAAAAAUUUGAAUCAGUUGAGUUGAUGAGUCAUAUUUUAUUAUAUUAAGUCAAUUUGAAAUUAUUUUGAAGUGAGUCGUAUGAAAUUAAAUUUAAUUUGAGUUCAAUUGAAUAAAUUUAUUCAAGUUAAUUAAACUUUUUUAAACAUACCAAAUUAAAAUCUUGUUAACAAUAUGACUAAAUUUCAAGUUAGAACAAAUUAAAAUCUUGUUAACAAUAUGACUAAAUUUCAAGUUAGAACACGUAAAUUUGAUAUCAUAUAUAUUUGAAAACUCUUUCAAAACGAAAUAAGAGAAAGAAAAACAAUAUACUUUAAUAGAAUAAAACUUGAUUUGGUAAAUUACUUGUUUAAGUCAUCAAAUUUAGUAAUUUUUUAAUAAUUUAAAGGUUUUUUAAAGAUUUUUUAAGAUUUUUUUUUCACAACUUUUGAGUGGGAUCAAUUUGAACUUUUUUAAGAUAAUAGGGAUCUAAAAGAUAUUUACAGCAAUUUAUUUGUUUUCAAGAGUUAUAAAAAUUCAACUCCACUUAAACUAAAAAAACUAAACUAAAUUACUUAUUUAAAUUUAUUUGAAAAAUCAAAUAGCUCUAAAAAUUCAAUUCAAUAACUAAAGAAAUAAUUGAAAAAAAAAUUUCUAGUCGAAUCUACCCGAGGGCUCCAGCCCUCCCAAAAUGGGAUUUUUUUAGUUUUUUAAAAUUUCUAAAAUUUUAAAUUAAUAUAUGAUAAAAUUACACCUCAACUUCUAUAAUAAAAAUUUUAAUUUAAUUAUUCAAAAAAUUAUAAAAAUAUAAAUUACUAAAAUAAUAAAAUUAUAUUUUGAGGAUCAUAAAAACAAUUUAAUUCCGUCUCUUCUAACAAAAAUUUUGAGAUUUCGGCUCUAAAUCUUGCUUUGCUUUUUCGAAAAGAAUGCGGUGUGUAAAACACAAAAGUUAUUUUCUAUAAAAAAAUAUAAUUGCACCCCUAACACAAUUCAUUCAAUUUCUUUACGUUUUCGUAUAAAUAAAUGGCUAAAAGACAGUACAAAAGAAAAAAGAAAAAAGAAAAUGGAAUAUAGAGCAUAUUUUGUUGGCACUUUGUAUUGACUUUGUAUUCCAUGUUGUCUUUUUAGAGUUUAUGCUGAGAAAAUAUCCUGGCGAAGUUAAAUUUUUCGCAUUGAAAUUAAAUUAUAAUUUUUAUAAUAAUAAAAAUAUAAUUUUAUAGUUUUAAUAAUUUAUAUUUUAAUAUUUUUAAAAAUUUAAAUUAAAUAUUUAUUAUUUUUAAAAGUUAAAAUAUAAUUUUAUUUUUAUUAAUUUAAAAUUUUAAAAUAUUUAAAUAAGCAGGACCCUUUAGCCCCUAACUACCCUGGAGAAUAUAAUGUUAAAAUAAAACCUUUAAAUAUUUUUAUUUAAUUUCCAACAUAAAAGGCAGUGGAUAACAAAUUUGAAGACUUUUCCACAAAUGAAUGAUUAGUGAUUUAAAUAAUUCAAGUGGUGGCAGUGAAAUAAAUAAAUAAAUAAGAAAAUUUUAAAAUAAAAAAAUCUAUAUUUGUUUACAAAAUGAAUGGGGAUAAAUACUUAGAUUUGAAUUUUAAAAUUAUUAUAUAUUGUAAAUCUAGAAUUAAUGUAGAUAAAUAUUUUAUAUAUUUAUUAUUUAAAUUUUAAGGUAUUGUUUUUUGGAAUAACAAAUGUAGAUUUAGAUGGAUGAGUUUAACUCGAUUUAAUUUGAAUUAUUUUUAUUCGAUUUUUUAAAUUAAUUUUAAUAAGUAAAUAAGUAUUUCGAGUUAGAGUGAAGUUGAAUUUUAUAAAUCGAAUAAUUUAAAAUUUGAAAAAUAAAUUGAUGUAAAUAUCCUUUUAAUCAUUGAUAGUUUUGAAAUUGUAUAAGUUGGUUCUCUCAAAAUUUAACCAAAAAAAAAAUUAAAAGUCUUAAAAUAUAUAUGAAAAUUCUAGUUAUAUAUAUUUUAAAAAAUACCAAGAUAAUAAAUCUUACUCAUUAAAUAAGUAAAUUAUCAAAUCAAGUUUAUCAUAAUAACUAUAUUGUUUUUUCUCCUAUUUUGUUUCAAAGGAAUUUUUAGAUAUAUAUAUACACGAUAUUCAUGAUCUUUAAAUCAUAAUUUAGUUAUAUUGUCAACAAUAUUUUAAUAUAUAUAUCUAAUCAGCUUGUUAAAAAUACUUAUAAUUUUAAUUAUAUAAAAAGUAAUUUUAGCGGAUUCAAAUUUAAAAUUUUGCCAGUUUAGAUAUUUUUUAAAUUGAUUUUUUUUACGAAUUUAAAAAUUCAAUAGAUAAUAGUAUCUCAUUCGAAUUUGAAUUUAUAUAGUAAUACUUAUAUAAUUUGUAGAUAAUAAACAAAUUCAAAUUUUAGAUAAAUUUAACACAAAUAAUAAUAUUUAAUUUAAUUUAGAUAAAAAAAACUUGAAUAAUUAAUCAUAAUAACGCAUAAAAGAUGUACAAUGUUAAAAUAAAAAAAUAAAUUGUGAGUAAAAUAAAAUUUAAAUACAUAAAUACAUCAGAUAAAUAAUAUUAAAUGCACAAUAAUUAGUUAUCAUGGUUUUGUCAACAAUGAUGAGUUAGUGUUGAGUUGACUUUGACGAGAGCAGAGAAUGAAAAGAAUGAAAGAAAAAUGACCACGGCUAUUCAAAAUUCAAAAGAUUUUUUUUCAAAAUGUUUGUCUUGGCCUUGGCCAAAAACCGCUGGUUCUGCUACCGCUGGUUUUGCUAUCGCUGGUUUAGCUACAGCUGGUUCUUCUAAUGACCUGGGGGUGGGGGGGGGGGAAUGGAACCACCCCAACCACGUUCAAGCUAAAAACUAGUUCGAACUAAAGUAUUUAUUCUAUUAGGUAAUUAGAAAUAUCAUAAGAGAAGAAGAAAUGCCCAAA